GAGUAAGUACAAGGAAAAGGCCGAGACUUGCGGACUGGGCUACUAUGAUUCCUUCAAGCUCCAAGAAAAAGAAGAUGGCUUCCAGGCUAAUGUGAGCAGGCUUGUGCUAGCUGGUUACUGGGACGAGAUGAUGGAAAUGUUAAAAGCGUAUAAACUUCCGGAUGAAUUUGAGAAGAGCCAUGACUGUAUACGACUUGGAACAGAUUAUCGCCGCACGGUUGAGCCUCUAGAUAUUGCCAACUUUUAUCGACACGCCAAGGAUGAAGAGACAGGGUUCUACGUGAAAAAGGGGACUCGACCAAAACGAUAUCGAUACAUCCAAAAUUGGCUCGAGCAUGCUGAAAAGAAGCCAUCUGGAUCCCGCUCAGAAUCCUGUUUCUGGGCUGAGGUAGAGGACCUCCGCAUUAAAACUAGAAGCAACGGAUCCUCUCCAGAAAUUAAGCAGAAGGUUCUGCAACUGGGGCAAAAUCUAAUUAAAUGGAUUGAUGAUGAAUCUUUAGGCAAGGAUGUGUUGCUGGAGAAUUCCACCUUUGUUAAAUGGUGGAAACCCCUUCCUCCUGAGUAUAAAUCAGAACCCAAAUCAUCUCGCAUUAUGAAACUCAUCCAUGAGAAAGAUUGAGAGGGUUUCAUGCUGUUAUCUCGAGGCAUUUGUUCAAAGCCAAUAAACCCUGUAAAUAAGCUCUAGCUUUGACUGCUCUCUUGAUAACCGAAAUGUUCUUGAUAAGUCCAUUAUUUACUAGUAAGAUGGUUUUCUUCCUGAGUGUAUGCAAAAUCCUGUUUCCUAUAUUAAUACAUAACGAUCCAUUCUCAAUCGUGUAGAUAAUAUCACUGUGAUACCCCGGGUCUUAGGUCCCACUAUGUGAAAAUCAAGAAUGAAAAUGACUAGAUACCAAGAGGUAAUGCGCAUGAUUUUUUCAUACAAACAAACAAGUAGGUUGUACUUCAACACAGAUGAAGUUUGCGAUUUGAAGUUACAACUAUCUAAUAAUAAAGAUGAUGAGAAGGCAUAUUUCUUAAGAAAAUGGCCAUGAUAGCAUUUAGCAGAGGAUACUAAUACAGAAGAUUGAAAAUGGGCUGGUAAAUUAACGGACAGAUGAACGCUUGAUGUGCAUCCUUGGCCGAUCGAUAUGUAUAUGAAAUUAAAUGCUGUGACAAAGACCUAGUUAGCUCCACAAUGAAAAAAGAAGCCCUUGCCAUAUGACUACAGAGGCCCUGUCACAGACUCACAGUUCAACUACAACCAGUUCCUUCCUAGCUUUCAGAACUUUCCAUAUUUAAAAAAUAUUAAUUUUAUAUUUUAUAGUUGGUAGUUAAAUUCAUAAAAAUAAUAAUUAUAUUUUUCUAUAUUUAAAAUAAUAAUCAAUAAUUAUUUAAUAUUAAUAAUAUUUAAAUUUAUAAAGUGUGGAAUCAAGAAGUUUCUAGGAUAAUACUAAUAAAUGUUGGAUCCGCAUUUUUCACAUGCAUUCCCACUCAACGACGAAACUCAUAUUUAUUUAAGGUGAAAAACUGUAUUUUAUAAGAAACUGGAAUCGCUACUUAUUAUUAUUUUUUAAAAGGGAAAAUAAGGAAAGAUAGGUUUGUAAAAACUGAGUUAGAUUCGGAGGUCAAGUUACCUAUUGGGAAGAUACAGUGGCUAAUCGUAGCACCUUUCUAAGCAUUACAAGUCAGGUCUCUAUUAAUAAAACUAAGACAACUAUGACAAUUGGUUGAUCAAUUUAUGGAUACCUAGCAAGAGUCAAAAUAUACUACGACCAAAGCAUGUAUCAAAAGAUAAUCGAAUGAGUAAAGAAGGAAAGGAGUGUACCUGAGUAAUAAGUCAAAGUGUGCUUCUAUGGAAAACAAGGUUAAUAAAUAAUAUAAGUAUAAAAUAUCUCAUGUCAAUCACAAACAAAAUCAAUCAAUAUUAAUCAAGCAAAGCAAUUAGAGGAAGGAGUGUCAUGGAUGUUGGGCCCAUCAAGGCCCAAUUUAUUUUUACAUGAAUUAAUUCUAUAAAUUCCAUUAUUUUUGGAAUCAUAAAAUUUAUUUAUGCAUUAAAAAUAGAGAAAAUCAAGAAAAACUACAUAAAAAAAAAUGUGAAAUGUGCUUGCCGGGGGGAAAUAUGACAGCAAUGUUUAUAAAAAUCGGGAUUUUAGUGCCUAAAAUAGUCUAAAGAUGAACAUUUAAAAUUGGGUUUAUUUCAGUCGAAAAUAGUUUUGAAAAUUCAAUUUAAAAACCUGUAAAUUCUCACCAAGAUAGGAAAAACACACCAAGAGGAAGGAAGGAUGACUUAAGAAUGGUGCACCAAAGGUGGCAAUGGUGGAGUGGGGCUCGUGGGUAGGCAGGCAUGUGCAUUUCCAUAUCAGAAUCCCUGUGCUGCUGCUCAUUCUCCAGGAGUCUGUAAGUCGCUUCACCCCUAUUCCCAUGCAGCAGAAGAGUGCUUCAAUUGUCUGGUUUUGCAGCUCUCACCCUUGUGUUUACUCCAAUUCAAGAUUAUCCCCCUGCAUCCCAAUCUCUCUCUAUGCUGACUCAAGCCGAGCUUGCAGAAUCCCAGUCGCAGAAUCAUUCCUUUUGAGCUCACAAAAUUAACCUGGUAAUCUCUUCUUCCCAGAACUCUAGUUUUUUAUUGUACUCAGUGGUCUUCCUAAGCAAUUCCUCAUAGCUAGCAUCAGUUCCCACCUUUGGGAUGCAAUCUGCGCUCCAUUAGAGCCCCAUCUUCUCCCAUAGAACUCGCCCAGGUUACCAAAUUCAUUCCUGCCAUAGCUGAGUCCUCCAUUAGGCAGCAACAAAUACAACACUUUAAAUGGAUUAGUUUCCAGAUCAAAUUGGAGGACAUACAGAAUGCUGUCAUCUAUGGGCAGCUUUUCGAGUUCAAGAGAAUUUUAAUGGCCACGUGAUAAGGGAUCUUAGUGACAGUCAACAUUCAGCUAAGCAGAAAUCUGGAGAGGCUAUAGUAGUGAUCAGCAUUGUCGCCCAUCCGUACAUUCACCUUGACAAAAUUGUAUUUGGAGGAAACAUUCUGAAUGGAGAAUCAAAUGGUUGGGAGAGAGGAAUCAGAGAUGUCUUCUUCUGGGGUGUCAGGGUUUGGACAAGUUGUGUGAAGACUGCCAGGUACUGAGGAUACCAAGGCUGGGAACAAGAACUGGUCACAUGUACACGGAGAUGGCCAUGCAUGUGGAUUGCAUGCACAUGGGAAAGAUGGUGCAAUAGACUUCGCUAAAUUCAAGCUUCUUGGAUAGCUUGCAACUUCAUCCAGAUAAAAGAUGCUUUCUGCUUCACAUAGAUGUAACAAAAUUGAUGGGGAGAAGAGAGUUGACCACUUCAUCUCCAUUAACGUCACUCUCAAUAUCAGGAGGAAUUUCUUCUCUUGUUAACGAGGAAUCUGAUCUCUUCAAAGACUGUGGUGGCUCUGUUGAAGCCAUUCUUAAAUUGUACAAUGCUCAGACUCCUUCAAGUUGGUCACGGCCUCCAAUACUAGAUUCCCCAGCCUUACGAUGUACCCUCUUUGAACCAGUAAUCUGCUCAGGGUUGCCAGGGAAGGCAAGGGCCUUAGCAUCGACAGUUUGAUCAUCACUUUGAACUAUUGCGCUGAGAGGCGGAGAAUUCUCCUGGUUUAGGGCUUGUUGGCACCCUUCUGUGGGCCAAUCUAGACUCCUCUCUUGAGCCCCAUCCAUUUUCCAUCACAUUCAUGUUCCUUCAUUGCCCAUCAACAAUAAAUCUGUACUGAUAAAUACCCGAGGGGAGCAUUUUCAUAAUGGUGGACUAUUUCCUCAUCUCUGCAAGGGUUUUCUUAUCUUCCAAUUAUCCCAUAAUUCCUCCGCAGCUACUUCCUUGCUAUCAUAGCUCCAUGUAAUCAUAGUUGGAAUUCCUUGCUCACUGCACACCACCUGACCUUGGCCACUCAUUUCCAAGUCUCAAAACUCUGCCUUUCUCACCCUCUUUUACUACCUUUGAGGCUUUGCUGCAAAAGAUCAAAACUGUAGGCUACCUCAUGCAAUGGCACACACCACCCUUUCUCAGAUUCCCUUAUUAGCUUGUGGAGAAAUUUAUUAAAUUUCACAUCAAAGGCAAGAAAAUUGGAAGGGGACAAUGAACCGCAGAUGGAUGAGAGAAUAAUGGCCUUGUCGUUGCAUGUUCAUGAGCAGCAUGAACUGUAUCCUUCAUUUCAGGAACUGAGGCCCUAUGACCUCCAGACCUGAAGGCUCAAUGAAUAGUCAAAGAUUUGACUUCCUGUAGGCUUGCCACAUCCUGAACAGACCUGAAUUUUCUCUUCUUCCGGGCCUUUUCUCAGAAGGUGGUUCCUUAGCUGUCUUGUAUGUCAGAGGCAAAUUGAUGCCUUGGAUUAAAAGAGUCUGAUGACAGAGUACUAAGAUGCUCCUGAUUGAAACGGAACACUUUCAUAGCAGCAUAUUCAAACUACCACAGAAUUGAGCAUCAGGAUGAAUUAAGCCACUUUACUUCAUCAACUUUUUGCACUUUCCAACAGUGCAGGACCAUUUUCCUUGCCAUUGCUGAAAGACUGUUGAUGAGCGCAAUGAUCAUUGAAUUACUGGUGGAUUUUCAUUGUGGGAAACCUAAGCUGAUUAAGCAACAAACCCAAACUUUGACUAGCUUGAAUUGAUAGAUCUCCAACAUUGGAUACAGGAUGACCUCUUAGGAGCUAAAGAUAUAUUAAAUUCCACAAGCUUUCCUUCAGAGGGCUGAUCAAGAGGUGUAUCUAAACCUUAUUUGGCAUGACCAACAAGCUGUCACUUUCACACGCAUAUUCUAAGCAUCUUCCCAGAGGCUUAACAGAAAAGGGAUCUUCAGGUUUACAGAGGAGGGAAAGGAAACCCUGCUUUGCAUUCGGAAAAGUUUUGUUGCUGUUGACAUCUUCACCAUUCUGAGUACUUGGGACUGUUGGUGCAGGUGUGGAGCAACCAGAAAAGUUGUUACUCAGACCCAAUAUUCUCAAUAGCACUGCUUAAAUUUGCCAGGCUCGAGAACAAAAAUGAGAGGUAGCUAGUUCUUUUGAUGCUUCCCUGCUAAAUUUGCCAGGCUCGAGAAUAAAAAUGAGAGGUAGCUAGUUCUUUUGAUGCUUCCCUGCUUGAAUUUGGAGUAUUUGAACCGGCAACAACUCUAUCAAUCCCAAGGGUAGAGAUCAGCUUCUCAAUUAUAGUGACUUGUGACUCCCAGAUCAGUGGAGAUCCAUCUUCAUGACCAGAGAUUGACCAUGACUCCACCUCAUGAAUGAUGAAUUCCUAGAGCCUCAUCUGUUUGAUGAAGGUGAAGUUUGAUUAGUAGGAGUUUUGAGUACUAUUUGAUAGUCUCUCUUCAUGCUGUGGGGGGUUCACUACAGGUUGAUGAUCAUCAUGAGAUGAGCUCGACAUGCUCACUCCUUAUUGGAUUUAUACUCCGAUACUGAUGUAGCCUUCAAACUCCACAAAUAAGCUAUACUUGAACCGAAGACUAAGGAUGACUAAACCAUCACCUCCAUCCUAACUAUGCUGGCGUUCAAAUACUACAAAAUGAUAUUUCAAUGGUCCUGCUUUCAAACCGCAAUUCCACACCUGAAGACGUUUCUCACCGAACCAAAGGCAACGGUGGUAUUGGCAUUAUUGGACAUACAAAUGCUCUGCAUGGACCCCAAACCACCAUGGUACUUCAAUGUCAAGGCCCAUGGCCAUUUCUGUUGUCCAUGAAAAUAAUCUUGAAGGGCUAUACAACUUUUAGCAACUCUUUAAAGGAUGCAAUGUGUCUGGAAGAUUGAAUUGAAGAUGAAUGACAUUUGUAGAAUCAACAGAUGAGGUUGCAUUUCUAGAGCCUCUUUCUGGAGGCCUUUCUCCAAGAAUUUUUCCAUGGCUCUCUGUUGUCAUCUUCUGCACAAUAGGAGAUGAUUUCACAUCCUACAGCCACUUGCUCCUGUUAUUAUGCUUCUGUCACCCCUCUCACAGUUUUCUUGCAAGAUACAAAUAACUCUCUCCACUGGGGUCACGAAUCUGUGGCAAUGAGCCAAAACACAGCCCUCUCUUCUCAAGCGUAGAUCAGAACACAAAACCAAUUGUCCAUAGCAAAUCGAAAUAUGUGAGCCAGAAACAGGAUAUGGAUUGAGAUACUGGAAAUAGAGAAGUGAACAAAACAAGAUACAACAUACCCAGAACAAAAUAAACAAGUAAGCAAAACAUUAAAUGGGAUCCCUUUUCAUGUUGAAAUCAAUGGGUUCAUAGAGCAGUGGUGCAGUAGGAAAGUUCAACACAAAUAUCAAAAUGAGGUCAUCAACAAACUCCUACUGUAAGAGUGAGCCAUAUUCAGAUUAAAAAAUACGAAAGAAGAGCGGUACAACAUCACAUCCAUACCAAAAAUAAUAGAUUUUCUCUAAUUAUCUAAUUAGACAGCUCACGCCAACACUCCCCCUCAAGUUGGAGCCUAGAUAUCUCUUAUGCCCAACUUGUCAAGUGAGUUGUAGUAGUUCCUUGCAGACACUGCUUUUGUGAGUAUAUCAGCCAACUGGUCUUUUGAUUUAACAAAUGGAAGCUGAAUAAUCUUUUCUUCAAGGUUCUGUUUGAUGAAGUUUCGAUCCACCUCAACGUGCUUAGUGCGAUCAUGUUGGAUUGGAUUGUGGGAGAUAGCAAUGGCUGCCUUGUUAUCACAGAACAGGUUCAUUUCAUAGCUGAGAGCAACACCGAUCUCAACUAGCAGCUUUUUAAGCCAAAGAAGCUCACAUAUUCCUUUGACCAUUCCCCGAAAUUCAACUUCAGCACUAGACAAUGUAAUUACCUUUUGUUUCUUGCUCCUCCAUGUAACCAGGUUGCCUCCCACAAAAGUAAAGUACCCUGAAGUAAAUUUCCUAUCUGUGAUGUUCCCUACCUAGUGAGCAUCUGUGUAGCCAACAACAUUCAAAUGACCAUUCUUUGAGAACAUAAGUCCUUUCCCAAGAGAGGACUUCAAAUAACGAAGGAUCCGCAUUACGGAAUCCAUAUGGUCUUCACUCGGGCAAUGCAUGAACUGACUCACUACACUCACAGCAUAACCAAUAUCUAGUCGAGUAUGAGAUAAAUAGAUGAGUUUACCCACUAACCAUUGAUACCUCUAUUUGUCCGCUGGCACCUGGUCUACAUAUUCUCCAAGUUUAUGAUUCUGGACAAUUAGAAUAUCAACAGGCUUGCACCCUAGUAAUCCUACAUCUGCCAGCAAGUCUAGUAUAUAUUUCCUUUAGGAAAGAAAUAUGUCUUGUCUUGACCUUGCUACUUCAAUGCCUAAAAAAUACUUAAGCCCUCAUAAGUUUUUCAUUUCAAACUCAGUUGACAAUUGCUCUUGAAGCUUAGAGAUUUCUUCUACGUCAUCCCCUGUGAUGAUCAUGUCGUCUACAUAGACUAUGAGGGCUGUUAUUUUUCCCACUUGAUGUUUUAGGAAGAGUGUAUGAUCAGAAUUGCUUUGUUGAAAACCAUAUUUCCUCAUUGUCGAACUAAACCUGCCAAACCAUGCUCGAGGUGAUUGCUUUAGUCCAUACAAUGCCCGUUGUAAACUACAUGCGAUCUUUGCCUCUGAGGUAGCAGUAUAACCUGGUGGAAGAUCCAUGUAAAUUUCCUUUUCAAGAUCACCAUGGAGGAAGGCAUUUUUCACGUCCAGUUGGUGCAAUGGCCAAUCUAAGUUUGCUGCAAGAGAUAAUAGAACUCUAACAGUUUUUAGUUUGGCUACAGGUGAGAAAGUUUCCUGAUAAUCUAUACCAUAUUUCUGUGUACAACCCUUUGCUACCAACCUUGCCUUGUAUUGAUCAAUAGACCCAUCUGCUUUGUAUUUAAUAGAGAAAAUCCACUUGCACCCCACCGUCUUCCUUCUUUCAGGCAAUACACUCAAAACCCAUGUGUUAUUUUUCUGCAACACCUCCAAUUCCUCUUUUAUAGCUUGAGCCCAUUUCGAAUCUGAUAAAACUUCUUCAACACUACUCGGAAUUUGACAUGAGGAGAGUGUAUGUGCAAAUGCCCUAAGAGGUUCAGAUAAUCUUUGAGUGGACACAUAAUUGGCUAUUGGAUACUUGGAUCGUCGUUCUUCUAUGUCUGGGGAGUAUCAAUUUGGUGGCUUGCCUCGAUUGUGUCUGAAAGGUAGAACGUAACCCGUAGAUGUAUCUAUAGCAUUAGUUUGUAAAGGUGUGAUAGAAAAGCUUACCUCAGGGAUAUUCUCAGAAGGAUGGUCGUUGGGUACUAAAGAGUGAAGGGAUUCAUCAGAUUCUGCAUCUUCCGAUGAUUCAGGUACAAGUUCAACUUCAAUUCUUGGAGGUUCAACCAUGUCGUUGCCAUCAUUCGGAUGUGCUAGAUUGUCACCAACGUCCAGCAUUUCAACAUCCAACCAAUUUCUUUCUUCACCAUGGAUCUCUCCCUGAAGAGGAGAAUUGGAUACCAGUGAUGGGAAUUUUUUUUCAGAUUCUAGGAAGGUGACAUCCAUGGUGAUGUAGGUUCUUUUAGCAAUGGGAUCGUAGCAUUUUUUGUACUCCAUACCCCAAAAAUAGACACCAGACAGCACAUGGAUCCAACUUAGUUCAUUGAUUCUUAUGGAUGUGAACAAAAACAACACAACCAAAAAUUCGAGGAGGAAUCAUCAAAACAUUAGGUAAUGAGACAUGAUCGGAAAGCACCUUAACCAGAGUCUGAAAUUGUAAGACUUUGGUUGGCAUACGGUUCAGUAGAUGCACGGCUGUGGCAACAGCAUCACUCCAGUAUCUAUUCGGCACAUGUGCAUUGAUCAAUAGAGCACGGGUAGUUUCUAAGAUAUGUCUAUUCUUCCUUUCAGCAGUACCAUUCUGUUUGGGGUUUGAGAACAUGAGGUUCAUGGAGAAUACCAUGACUGUUGAAGUGUGUCUAGAAUUGUUGGUUAACAUACUCCCCUCCAUUGUUAGAACGAAGGAUCUUAAUUUUUGCAGAAAAUUGUGUUUGAACCAUGGUAUGAAAUGAUUGGAAAACAACAAAUACUUCAUCUUUGUGUUUUAGGAGGUAAAUUCAUAUCAUUCUUGUACAGUCAUCAACAAAAAUUGCAAACCAACGGUGACCAGAAGACGUAGUAACUGGGGAAGGUCCCCAUACAUCAGAAUGGAUUAAAUCAAAAGGAAUCAUACUUUUAUUCAUACUCAAGGGAUAAGAAGCUCUAUGACUUUUGGCUAAGAUACAAGUAUCGCAUUUAAAAUUUAAGUGUGAUACUUUGGAAAAUAAACCAGGUAGUAAGUGCUUCAAAUACCCAAAAGAUGGAUGCCCAAGUCGAUGGUGCCAUAACCAAAUAUGUCUUUUCUUGUUACUAACUGUGUGGUGCAUGUGAUUUGCUCUUCCCGAACUGAAGUCAUCAACGUAGUAUAAUCCCCCCCUCUUAGUACCACGCCCAAUUAUCUCCUUGGUAAGAAUAUCCUGAAGAAGGUAAAAAGUAUAAUACAUUACUACCACACAAUUAAGAUCCGUAGUAACUUGACUCACAGACAUCAGUCUAUUUGAAAGAGAAGGUACAAGUAAUGUAUUAGAUAAUGAAAGGGAAGGAGAUAACGUCACUGUUCCCACCCCUGUAAUCGGAUAAGCGACCCCAUUGGCAUUUUUAACACAACUCCGUCUCGAUUGAGUUGCAUUAGAAAAAUCAUUUGAAUAAAAUGUCAUGUGGUAUGUAGCACCAGAGUUGAGAAUCCAGUCAUCAUCAUUAUUGUGAGUAGAGAUAUGAAGUGUCUUACCAGAAGUACCAGAAGUACUUGGAUCAUGUGAAGAUUCUACUUGAGGGAUGAGGGAUAAUGAAGGAUCACAAGUAACCACGACAGCUCUCCCAGUGUGGUCAUCAUUAGCAAAGGUUUCACGUUUUUUUCGUGCUUGAAAGUCGUUCCACCAAUCUGGAUACCCAUGUAGUUUGAAGCAGGUGUCACGGGUAUGUUUGGAGUUGCCACAAUGUGUACACUUCAUGCCAUCAGAUGGUGGUUUGGUUUUGGAUUUUCCCCUGCUUAGAGAAAGAGCCCCUGGUUUCGGUGUUGUCUGGUAGUGACUUCCCUUGAUCCCUUUGGAUAUCAUAACUCCUCCAGGAGUGGUAUCUGUACCUGAGAUCAUCACAAUCUGCCUGACAUCUUCCUUACGAACAAAAGCGUAGGCCUGUUCCACUGUAGGGAAUGGUUUUAAUUGGAGCACAUCACUCCGAGUUUUAUCUAGUCUGUCAUCUAGUCCAUCAAGGAAAGUAUAAACCCGAUCUUCUUGUAGAAUCGAGUUGUAUUUCUGUAUGUCAAUAGCACACUCCAUCGGGUUAGGACGACGAAAAUCGAUUUCUUGCCACAACCCUUGAAGAUCGUUGUAGUAUUUUUCAAUGGAUCCACCCCCCUGCUUCAUACGAGUAACACGACGCCGGAGAUCAUAGACUUGAGAUGAUACUGUCCCAUCAAAAUAGGUUGUAGCAGCAGAAUCCCAAACCUGUUUUGUAGUUGGGAAGCGGAUAAAGUUGGCAAUCAAGGAAGGGUCCAUUGAAUUGAUCAACCAUCCCUUGACAAUGGCAUUUUCGGUUCGCCAUAUCCUGAGUGAAGGAUCGGUUUUUGGAGGUUGAGGGGAAUCUCCAUUAAUAUAUCCUAACUUGUCCUUGCCAGAGAUAUACAUCUCGACAACCUGGGACCAUAAGGCAUAGUUGGAUCCUUCCAACUUGAUACCGAUCGGAGCAGUUGAGGAAUCGGCAAGCAGAGGUUGAGGGGAAGUUUGGGCUCGAGUCAAGACUUCCGUCAUUUUUGUCGUCAGAUCGUUAAGGAUGGAGUUGGUAUGGGGAAUGAGAGAUUGUGUUAGGUCUCCGGAUUCCACCAUGGAUUCUAUUGGGUCUGGGUUCUUUCCUGGUCAAGCGACGCCGUAAAAUGACCACGUCGGCAAUGGCGCAAGCCUGUCAGUUGGAAAAUCCGUCGGGGUCGUCUCCGACGAACUCUGGAGAGGAUCUGGGGUCGACUUCGACUUCGUCUCCCAAGUCUGUGGAGACUACGACGAAGGUGCAGUUUGCUGGAAGGUUUUUUUCUUCUUUUUUUAUUUGAGUUGAAUACCAUCAUAUAUAGAUACAGAGCAAAGGAAUUUUAGGAACCUAUUCUAGCCUAUACACAGGUUGUGGUAGAAAUUGUAGAUCACGUUUGAAGUAUGGAAUUUACAUUAAUAGAUUUUCUCUAAUUAUCUAAUUAGACAGCUCACUCCAACAAAAACAAUUUAACAAUGCCUAGAAAAUUAGAAAUAACCAGAGAGAAUGAAAAAAAAAACAGAGUGAUAAGUGAAAAUGAGCAAAGAAGCUACAAAAAACGUACCUGAAAAUGCUCCCUCCAACGAGAAUAGUUGGGCUUCAAGCUGCUUUGUUUCUUCUUUCAAACCUCCAGAAAACCACAACAAAAUCAACUUCCCUUUCUCUCCCUUGCUCCUAAUCACCCUGCCUAGAAUCCUCUCUGCUCCCUGUUUUCUCUCUAACCCCCAAUUCCGAAGAAUCCCACCAUCACUCCAACCAACCUCUUAGCAAUUCCCCCUGUUUCCACUCUUUCCAUUUCUGUUUUUCCCCUGUCUCCACUCUCCCCCGACCCACACUCUCAGAUACUUUCCUGCUCAAGACUCCUACUUCUCUCUAAAAAAACGACCCGCCCAAAACUUUGCCACAUGUCGCUCUCACUGGCUCCCUUUUCUCUCUUAGUAAGUAACUCACCAAAAAGACAAAAAUUCACGCUCCACCAUUUUGCAGAUCCUCCUUGCCCACCUAGUUUGCCACGACUCCAAAAUAGAGCUUAAGUCCAAAAUAAUCUGUUGGUAGAAAAAAAUGGUAAGAAUAGUAGUCAUCUCAAAAUAUUUGUCAAAGUAGUAUUUUCUAUCCACGUAAUCAUUCAUGCGAGUUUUUUUAGUGUAAAAAACCACCGUUACUAACUGUGAUUUUAAAAGUUUCAGAAAUAUCUUUAAAACCACAGUCACAGAAUGUGGUUUUACAAUUUUCCUCGUUAGUAACUGUGGUUUCAUAAUAUUUUUAAACCGCCCCUGUUUCAAUGGUAUUAUGAUUUUAAUAUUAUUUUUUAAAAUAUUUUUUAUCAUAAUAACCAUAAAACCACAGUUAGUAACUGCAAUUUUAAAAAUAUUCUGAAAACCAUGAUCAGACCAUGGUUUUACAAUUUUCUUUAGAACCACAGUUACUAAUUGUGGUUUCACAAAUAUCUUUAAUGAGAACUCGUGUAACCAUACAUCAACUAAAAAAAUAUAUGGGAUUUUAGAACUUUGCUUUUUUCUUUUUAGUUUUAGUGUAAAAUGGGAAAAAAAUAUUGUUUAUUCAUGCAUUUCGAUAGUACUUUCAAAUCAUUUCACAAUUACCCUCAUAAGUGAUAUAAGAUUAUAAAACUUUGUUUUUUUAUUUUUAAUUUUAGUGUAAAUAGGAAAAAAUAUUGCUUAUUCAUGCAUUCCAAUACUGCUUUUAAAUUGAUUGUGAAUCUAUUUUUUUUUUUGGUUAAAAUCUUUAAUUUUUAAUUAAAAUAAAAUAUAUUUUUCAUUAAAAAAAAUGUAAUUAACCUUUUAUAUUAAUUUCAUAAAAAAUAGGUACACCCUUAAAAAAAAUAGGUAUAUUCAUGCUUAGGGGAACCGGAACCACUAUCAUACUUAUCAUGGUGUAUAUUCCUUUGGGACCCUCGAUAAGUAAUCAGAGGUCCUUGCCCACCCCAAAACAAACUUUGGAAUCCUAGGUAUAUCAUUUCUUAGAGGAACCAAGACCCCUAUUUCCAUUAUCAUGGUUCAUAUAUUCCUUUGGGGACCUUUGAGAAUGAAUUGGAGGUUGUUCCCCACCUUAGAAUGGACAUUGGAACCCAAGGAACAUCCUAAAGAUAAUUUGGUACAUCAUUUACAAAAAUUGGUACAUCUUUCACAAAAUUUGACACAUCCUUAAAACAAUGUGGUACAUCCAAUCCACGAGCCACCAAGACCUCUAUAUUAUUACCCAUGGUUCGUUUAUUUCUUUAGGGAUCUUUAGGAAGUAAUCAAAGGUCAUUCCCUACUCUGAAACUAACUUUGGAACCCUAGGUACAUCCUUAAGGAAAUUUGGUACAUCAUUAAGAAAAUUUGAUAUAUCUAAUCCUUGAACUAACGAGACACAUAUCUUUCUUCCCAUUGUCUAUUUAUUCUUUUAGACAACCUUAGGAAGUGAUUAGAGGUCGUUCCCCAAUUUGGAACAAACUUUGGCCCCCUUGGUACAUCCUUUACAAAAUUUGGUAAAUAUUUUAUAAAAUUUGGUACAUUCUUCACAAAAUUUGGUACAUCCUUAAAAAAAAUUGGUACAUCUAAUCCUUGAACUACUAGGACCCCUAUCUUAUUACCUAUGGUCUGUUUAUUUCUUUAAAUAUCUUUGGAAAGUAAUUGAAGGUCGUUCACUACUCCGAAAUGGACUUUGGAACCAUAGGUACAUCCUUGAGAAAAUUUGAUACAUCCAUUACUUGAACUAACAAGACACCUAUCUCUCUUUCCAUGGUUCAUUUCUUCCUUUAGAGACUCUCGGAAAGUGAUUAGAGGUCGUUCCCCACCUCGGAACUGACUUUGGCAACCUUGGUACAUCCUUUAUAAAAUUUGAUACAUCUUUUACAAAAUUUGAUACGUCCUUCACAAAAUUUGGUACAUCCUUCAAAUAAUUUGGUACAUCCAAUCCUUAAGUUACUAGGACCCCUAUCUUAUUACCCAUUGUCCAUUUAUUCCUUUAGGGAUCUUUGGAAAAUGAUUGAAGGUCGUUCCCUACUCCGAAAUGAACUUUGGAACCCUAGGUACAUCCUUGAAAAAAUUUGAUACAUCCAAUCCUUGAGCUAUUGGAAUCCCUAUCUUAUUACCCAUAGUCCAUUUAAUCCUGUAGGAAUCUUUGGGAAGCAAUUGGAUGCACCAAAAUUUCUUAACGAUGUACCAAAUUUCCUUAAGGAUGUACUUAGGGUUCCAAAGUUCGUUUCUGAGUAAGGAAAAUUUCUUACAAUUUUCCAUUGUCAGUUUUAAAUUAUUAUUUUUUUACAAAUCAUCCUUAACAAAUUUUUUUUUUACGACUGUUUUAAAAUUAUAUUUUUUUUUCAUAUUUUCCUUGAAAUUUUGAGAAAAUAAUUUUACCGACAUGCAUUCCCAUAAAAUUUUUAUAUAUUUAUGGUAAAUAAAAUAUUUAUUUGUUUUAUGAAUUUUAUCACAUAUGAAUUAAAGAAAAUUGUUUUUUCAUAUUAUUUUUAAAUUUUAAAGAAUAUUUUUUAUAAAGAAUAUUUCAAAAAUAAUAUUAUGAUAAAGAAUAUUUUUAAAAUAAUAUUAAAAUUACAAUACCAUUGAAACAGGGGGUGGUUUAAAAAUAUUUUUGAAACCACAGUUGCUAAUUGUGGUUUUAAAGAAAAUUGUAAAACCAUAGUAAUAGACUGUAGUUUUAAGGAUAUUUUUGAAAAUUUUGAAACUACAGUCAUCAACGAUGGUUUUUUACACUAAAAAAAAAACUCACGUGGAUGAUUACGUGGAUAGAAAAUACUACUUUGACAAAUAUUUUGAGAUGGGUACUAUUCUUACCAUUUUUUUUCUACAAACAGAUUAUUUUGGACUUAAACUCUCCAAAACAUGCUCCCGCAAAAAGAAAAUCUGAUUUUUUUUUUCUCCUAAAAGAAAGAUACCCAAAAACAUGCUAUUUCCCGCCAGCUACCCAUGAAAGGAUACAUCUCAAAAGAGCCCUCCCAAAAUGGGGGUCUAUAAUAUGUUAUAUCAUUUAAAAUUAAGGAUUAAUUGAUUAAAAAGAUGAAAACAUUCCAAAAUACCCUUCAACAUUUUCAUUAUUUACAUGUGUAUUUUAAAAGAAAUGGUUACUUUUACAAAAUAAAUAAAUAAAUAAAAAAUGAUGAGGGCAUUUUUAUCAAAAAUGAGUAUUUUUUAGAUUGAAAAAAUGUGAAGGGUUAAUUUUCCAAAAUGUCCCUAUCCUUAAAAUUAAUGCUCAUUGGCUUAUAAGGGACCUGACCUCAUCCAUUGAUCUAAGCUUAUUUUUGCCCCGUAUUUAACACCUGGUUUUUAAAAAGGUUAUUGUGGACCCGAUGUUUUCGCUUGAUGCAUUCCCACUCGAUGGUGAAACUCGUUUUUUUUAUUUUUUUUAUUUGUGAAAAUUUGAUUUUUAGAAAAAAAACUUGGAGUCGCCACUUAUUUUUGAAAGGAAAAAGCAAUAAUAAAAAAGAAAAACCCUAAAUGUGACUCUGAAGGAAAAAACAAGUCUACGAAAAACCGAGUCUGGGUUCAGGGGUCAGGUUACUUAUUGGGAAGGUAUAGUGGUGAGUCGUAACACCCCUCUAAGGCCGUAUACGUACGACCUCUACUAAAUGAAUUAAGGGAAUUAUGGCAAUUAACUAAUUAAUUAUGGAUACCAAGAAAAAUAAUCAUACAAAUGAAUCUGUACAAGUCAUGGUGAAAAUCAAUAUACACAAAAAUAAUAAUGAAAUCUAAUUACAAGAAUACACAAAAUAAAUGAUAAGAGAAUUAUGUAAAAUAAUUUAUUGAACUAAAUGAAAAAAAAUGGUAUUAAAAAAAAUGGCUUUCAAGAAAUUUCAAAAGGAUUUUAUUAAAAACAAUUUUGAAUGAGUGAUUUCAAUUUAUUUAUUUGCAAAAUAUUUUCUUCAAGUGAUUUGGUUCAAUUUCAUUUGUAUUUAAUUUUCAAAAAAAGGUUAUUUAUACUUAUUAUAUCAAAUAUAAUUUAUUACAAAAUUUCAAUUUGGCAACAAAAAUUACUUUACAAAAAAAAAAAAAAAAUUUUACAAGUUUGUUUGCAAAAGUAUUUCAAGUUUUUUCAUUUAAGAAGAGUGAUUUAUACAAAUUAUUUAAAAAUGCAUAACUUCAUGUGCAAAAAGAAUUUUAAUUAAAAAGAAAAAAAAUAUUUAAAUAAUCUAUUUCUAAAAAAAAUACUUUUAAUUCCAUUUUAAUUAAGGAAAAAGAAUUCAUUUAAAAAAACAUUUUUUGGACAAUUUUAUUAAAAAUAAAUUUUUGGGGCAACUUUAUUUACAAAAAAAAAUUUGGACAAUUUUUAUUAAAUAAAGAAAUUUUUGGACAAUUUUAUUAAAAACAAAUUUUCAAAUUCUAUAAAAAAAAAUUCUUUUGGAUUUUUAUAAAAGCAUUUUUCUGAAUUUUUAUAAAUAAAAAAAACUUUCUUUUGUUAAAAAAAAAUAUUUUAAAAUUAUUAUUUUAUUAAAAUAUAUUUAUUGAAUUCUUCCUCUCAUUUAAACAAAAUUUCUAGUUUGUUCGAUAUUCAAUUCUGUACACACUCAAUAAAUAUAUACAAGCAAAUAUCUACAAGAACUAAUAAAAAUAAAAUCAAAUAAAAGUGGAAAAUAAAAUAUGUACCCAAAUAAACUUAUAACAAAUUCAAUGUCUUCCUACGACUUUUUUAUUAUCACUUUCUUUCAUGAAAUUUUGUGUUCCACGUGUCAUAAAUUCAUACUCAACUAACAAGAUUGUAGAAUAAGUCAAUGCAAAAACAAAAAUAACUCAUAUGUAAAUAUCCAAAAAUAUGUAGGGUUCAAAUAAUAAUUCAAGCCCAAAUUCAAACUUUAAAUUAGCCCAAUAAAUUUUAACAAUUAAAAAUGUGUCCAAAUUAACAAAUAUAACCCAAUAAAAAUAUCUCACAUAUCAUAAACCCUAACAUAAAGUUUUCAAAUUAAUAGCCAAAACAUAAGCUCAAUUAAUCAAACCCAAUAAAUUAGGAUAAAUCUCAUUAGGCCUAAAUUUAAUAUUUCAUAAUCCAAACCUAAUUUAAUAUACACCACAAUUGUCUCAUGCCCAAAUUAAAUAGUUCAAAUUAGUCAAACUCAUAUAAAAUAUUAAAGUCAUCCAACAAAUCUCACCCACAUUAUGGGUCCAAAAUUCAUAUAAGUUAACAAGCCCACAUCAAUAAUAUACAUGGCCAAAUGAAAUAAUAUUUCAAGCCCAAACAAAUAACCAAUUAACAAUAGGAUCAAGUCCAAAUAAACAAUAUAUAAUUGAUAUAAUCCAAAUAUCUCAAAUUAAUCACCAAAUACAAUAUAACCACAAACCCAAAUUAAAAAAUUUUAAAUUAAUUCACCAAUAAUAAAUUAGCUCAAAUUUCAUAUUAAUUUACCAACAACAAGUUAACCAAAAUUUCAUAUUAAUUCAACAAUCCUAAUUUCACAAACAACAAUUACUAUUAAAAUCAAAUCAAGAAAAAUAAUAAUAAUAAUAAUAAUAAUAAUAAUGGAAAAUGAGUGGGAUGGGACAACAAGGGAAUGAGAGAAAAUGGGAGGGGGUCGCCGGCUGGUAGUGACUCGCCGGUGGCGACUACAAGGGGCUCACCGGCGGUAGUGAGAGAUUGGGUAUGGUGAGAGGGGAGUAGAAAAUAAUAAUAAUAAUAUAAUAAAAUAAAAUAAAAUAAAAAAGAAAUGAAAGAAAAGAAAAUAAGAAGAAAUCAAAAGAAGAGUGUUCGGAUGGAGAGAAAGGGAGGGAAAAUGUGGGAAAGAAAAAAAAAAUGGGGGCUAGUCACCGCAUUUAGGAGUUAGAAGAAAAAAAUGAAAAAAAUGAAGAGGGGAAAUGGGGAGGAUGAUUGAGAAAAAUAUAAUAUAAUAUAAUAAUAAUAAUAAUAACAAAUAAAAAUAAAAUAAUAAAAACUAAGAAUUAAAUGGUGAGUGGACCAAAAAACACAUGUAAUCGGGAUUUAAAAUUUAUUGACAAAAUUGAGCUCAAAAUUAAUGUAAAAAUAAAAUUAGAACAAAUUUUGGGGUCAUAGUUAUAUUUGAUUAAAAUGAUUAUUGAAAACUCAAUUUUAGAAAUUUAACAUUUCAUCAUUUUUUAUUAUCUCAUUUUAACAAAAAUGUUCUUAUUCUUUUCAUGUAAAAAUAACUUUUUAUUUUAAAACCUACAUGUAAACACUUGAAAUGAUAAAAAAACUAUUUACAUCAAAAGCGGGAUACUCUUCAAACAAAAAUACAAGAAGGUUUAAAUUCACAAAUAUGAGGAUUAUUUCACCAUUUUUAACUAAUUAAUUUUUUUUCAAAUUGGCAAAAUGUGAAGCUAGCACGAUUAACAUUAGUAAAGUAUCUAAUUGCUAAAGAGAAUGGUAGGAUUUAUUGACCUAACUCAAUUUAAUAUAUGUUAAAAUGGUGACAUUUUCUAAUUAUAGGCAUAAAAAAAUUAGGAGAAUGACAAAACUUAGUUAUUUUUCUCAAAAAUGACAUUAAAAAAAAAAAAAAAACAAGGUCCUAAUAUAGUCUUAUAAACUACAAAAGAAAGAAAUUUGAACUGUUGUACACCAAGGCCUAGCCUUGCAUGACAAAUAAAUUGGCAACAAAGGAUUAUGGUUUUGGAAAAAAUGAAAAGAAGGAAAGGAUAAAACAUGGAUUAUUUAUUUACUAAAAACCGGAGUCAAGAGGUGGAAGGAAAUCAUGUUUAUGAGAGUUAUCGCCAUGAUUGGACUUGAGCUUCUAGCACAUGAAGUAAAGAGCUGCUAGUGGUACCUAUUAAAUACGAAUAUGAUUGGUACAUUGUCGUUAUGUGGGUUGGUGUUAGAUAAUUUAUUAUUUAUUUAUAUUUAUAUUUAUAUAUAUUUUGGGUUUACUAAGCUUUGGACAGCCGUUGGGUGUUAAUCUCACACUUUUAAUAUUAGUAUGGAAAAUUUGAGCUUUCACACGACAAGGAAAGGUGGCAUUACAGCCAAGCAAUUUAAUUAUUAAUUAGUUACUGGAGUCGGAGCUUCCUAUAACUAAUUUUUAAAAAGAAAAAGUGGGAAAUGGCGCCUCCAACAGUCAAAAAAUGCCGUUUCAACCGGGGCUUAAAAAUGGGCCUCCCUCCGCUGUCAUUUCCACGCAACUCCAUUGCAACGACGGAGUAUUAUUCCAUCCCCAUAGACCACCAUCCAAGUCAACUAAAAGUCUAGAUCAAUUACUUGUUUUAGUCACCAGAAAUUACCAAUAAACCACUCACGGUCUUGUUAUAAACCAAGCUGCAGCGUCACCAGAAACUUCAAAUCACAAGAGAGAAAAUUUGCAUAGAGAGAAUAUGGGAGAAACACUUGAUCGUAUUGGAUUGAGCGGAGAAGUCAUUAAUGCAGCUGCUUCUCUAGCCAUGAAGGCUCACGAUUCCACUCGCGAGCCAUUUCUCCUCAAGAAACCCCGUGGCUUAUCCGUUGCUGUUGUUGCAUUUGCUGGAUCUUGGCUUCCCGAUGAUUGGUGUGCGGAGACACCUUUUGGAGAAACGACGAUAGAUGCUGGUACCUUUCCUUCGCUUAAAAGUUUAGGCGAUGACGGAGUCGCUCUGGUCAACGGGUCGUUUCUCCGGCGAUUCAAGGCAAUCUUAGGCCAAUCAUCACUUGCCGAAAAGGUACUUCAAUUCAACUUAUGCAUAGAUAUAUGAAAAACGAUCUUGUGAAUUUAAAAUGUGGAUGUUGGGGUUGGAUUUUUCAGGUGAAAAAAGUAAUUGGAGAGAAGAAGCGAGUUGUUUUCACCGGCUACUCGUCGGGUGCUCCGGUGGCCAUCCUGGCAACUCUAUGCCUCUUGGAGAAGCCAGAGCCCAAUCAGAGCCCACCCCGCUGCGUCACUUUCGGAUCCCCCCUCGUCGGUGAUCGGAUCUUCGGUCAUGCUGUCAGACGGGAGAAAUGGUCCGACCACUUCGUUCAUUUUGUUAUGAGAUACGAUGUGAUCCCUCGGAUUAUGCUUGCCCCUUCAUCCACUGAGCACAAACAAAUUCUCGAUUUCUUCAAUCCCAGAUCUGAAUUCUUCAGAAAACCCAUUGAUUCUCCUUUAGGUUUCUAUUCCAGCGUGAUGAGGAAUGCAUCCUUGGUUGCAAACUAUGAUGCCUGCAAUCUCAUGGGAUGCAGAAUCCCGGCGUUGGAAACUCUAAGGAACUUCAUUGAGCUCAGCCCUUAUAGACCUUUCGGAACUUACAUCUUCUGCACGGGAAAUGGAAAAUUGGUUGUCGUAAGGAACUCGAAUGCAGUACUGCAGAUGCUGUUUUACUGUGCUCAGUGGACCCAAGAAGAAGCUGCAGGGGUUGCACAAAGAAGCCUAUCUGAACACUUGGCUUACAAAGAUGAAAUACAAGAGAGCUUAGGAAUGCAGAAUGUAGUCUAUCUAGAUCGUCUGGAAGAGAUUCCAGUGUCUUCAGAUGGCAGUCCAGCCACAGUCAACACGGCCUUGAAUGACCUCGGCCUGGUGAGCCUUCUUCCUUUCUUCUUAAUUACCUUACUGCCAAACUACAGAAUUUUAGCUUCCAUGUCUGUAAAUCUCAAUUGAUGUUCUAGUGUUAUGGAUUGCAGAGCCCACAAGGAAGGCUAUGCCUUCAAGCUGCAGGAGAGUUGGAGAAGCGAAAGUCAAGAAAUCAGGAUAAGAUCAUUAAUGAUUAUAAGCAAAAGAUUGAAGGUGAAUUAAGAGAGCUGAGAAAGUACAAGGAAAAGGCUGAGACUUGUGGACUGGGCUACUAUGAUUCCUUUAAGCUCAACAAAUACGAAGAGGACUUUCGGGCUAAUGUGAGCAGGCUUGUGCUAGCUGGUUUCUAGGACGAGAUGAUGGAAAUGUUAAAAGCGUAUGAACUUCCGGAUGACUUUGAGAAGAGCCAUGACUUUAUACGACUUGGAACCGAUUAUCGCCGCACGGUUGAGCCUCUAGAUAUUGCCAACUUCUAUCGACACGCCAAGGAUGAAGAGACAGGAUUCUACGUGAAAAAGGGUACUCGACCAAAACGAUAUCGAUACAUCCAAAAUUGUGUUAAAGUAUAUUGUAUUGUGGGCUCUAGGCCCAGGGGCCCAGUUAGGUUACUUGUAUAGUACUUGUACUAUACACCUGUACUACACCUUUGUACUACACUUGUACUACACCUUUGUACUGCACCCUUGUACUACACAUAUAUGCCUCCUAUAUAAAGGCACUGAUGUAUACUCUUUUACUCACAGAAUAGAAUACAAUUAUUCUAUAUUUCUAACAUGGUAUCAGAGCCACUGCUCUGACCUCUUUUUUUUCUUCUUAGCAGUCUUGUCUUCAUUAGUGUGACUUCCUUUUUCACUAAGCGCUUCCGCCAUCACAACUGCCGCUGUAGCCUCUUGCCGUUGAACCUCCGACGUCAUCCAGUCGUCAUCCCUGGGUUCCGGACCUGCAACCUCAGUCAUUAAGAAGUCUCACACUGCACAGACCACUGCCCCUUUGCAUCAUCGCUGCGAAUAUUGCUCCGAUUUCACUUUUGAAGGUACCACUGAGAUCGUCCAGCGCCGAUCUACACAUUCGUGGAUAUCUCGCCGCCAUCGGAGACCGCACGCGCCCCUCAAAGAUUCUGCAACGCCUCCACGUGCCUUCACGCGCCCCCACGCGCUGCCACAUCAGCACUAGCUCGUCAGGCCUCCACGCGCUGCCACGUCAGCCCUAGCUGCGUCAGCAUCCACUGAUCUGCUGACGUCAUCUCCAGUCGUUGACCGUUGACCAUUGACCGUUGACCACCGUUGACCGUUGACCGAACAUUGACCGUUGACUUUGACCGUUGACCGUCCAAUUGACUUUUUCCCCGGCCAGGUUCUCCUUACCCAGUUUUUCGUAUAGAUUUCAUUUCUGCAGUCGGUUUUUGCAUAUUGCGUCCCUAAAUGGAUAAGAAGGAUGUUUUUCUUCCUCGCCCCAUCCAUACUGUAUUGGAGGGGACUAAAAAUUACUUAUCCUGGUCUCAAGCUAUGCGCAGUUUUCUUAAGAGUCGCAUGCUCUGGCAUUAUUGUACUGGUGCAAUGACUAUUCCUGUCAAAGGAGCAAGUGAAGAAGAUGCUGUCUUUCUUAGUCGCAUGAUUGAAUGGGAUAGUCAUAACCACAUGAUCCUCACAUGGAUCCGGAACACUUCCAUUCCCUCUAUUUCCAACCUAUUGGGCAGCUUUGACGAUGCAAAAUCUGCAUGGGAUAUGUUGACCAAAAGGUACUCCACUACUCAUGGAUCCAUGAAAUAUCAGUUAGUGGUUGAAUUGCAUCAACUCAGGCAAGAACCGGGGCAAUCCAUCAAUGACUAUUAUGAUCAGCUUCGCUUCAUUUGGGACCAAAUUGACCUUUCUGAACCAACUUGGGGAUGCUCCACAGAUGCUCAGCAAUAUGCUACCAUUAGAGAUGAAUUUCGCCUCUAUGAAUUCUUGAUGUCACUUCACAAGGACUUUGAGCCCAUUCAUGGUCAGCUGUUAAAUCGCAGUCCUGCUCCCUCUCUUGAUACUGCUGUGAAUGAGUUGGUUAGAGAAGAAGCUCGUCUUGCAACCCUUCAAGCCCAGAAUAAGCUCAAUAUUUUGGCUAUUACUCCAUCUACUCCACUCAUAGAGCAACCUCAGCAAUUAGGUGAUUUUUCUGGCUCUAGCAAUCGUCGCAAGCAAACCAACAAGAAGUUCUGCAACUAUUGCAAGCGUCCUGGCCACACCAUUGAGACUUGUUACCGUCGUAACAAAUCUACUGCUGCUGUUGCUAAUACUGCACCUACUCCGCCAACGGUUUCCACGUCCUAGUCUUCUGGAUCUACUAUCAACCUCUCUUCCACUGAACUACAGGAGAUCAUAGCUCAGGCUGUUCGUAUGGUUGGUAAUGCAUCUCUUUCCACUGCCUUAUCUGUUCUACCUGGUAAGUCUCAAACUUGGCUCUUUGAUUCUGCCUGCUGCAAUCACAUGACACCUCACUCAUCCCUGUUCACCAACCUUGACCCUGCACCACAUCCUCUAAAUAUUCAUAUAGCCGAUGGUUCCACCAUGCAUGGAAAUAGUCUAGGUUUUGUUUCAACCUCUACCCUUUCUGUUCCUGGAGUCUUUCACGUACCUGACCUAUCCUAUAAUUUGUGCUCUGUGGGACAAUUAGCUGAACUCGGUUAUCGCCUUAUUUUUUACUAUUCUGGGUGUAUUGUACAGGAUCCGAGGACGGGGCAGGAGCUUGGGACCGGUCCUAGAGUUGGGCGUAUGUUUCCCGUGAACAAUCUUCAUCUUCCACCUGUUGCUCCUGUUUCUAUUGCUGCUGCAACAGCUGCAGUUUCUUCCUUACCUUCUCUUGCGCUUUGGCAUUCUCGUCUUGGUCAUGCACCAUCUUCUCGGGUACAACAGUUAGUGUCUAGAGGUCUGUUGGGUUCUGUGUCUAAAGACCAUUUUGAUUGCACUUCAUGUCAGUUAGGAAAACAACCAGCUUUGUCUUUCAAUAACAGUGACUCCAUUUCUAAAAGUAUUUUUGAGUUAAUUCAUUCUGAUGUUUGGGGACCUUCUCCUGUUGCUAGUAUUGGUGGAUCUCGAUAUUUUGUUGUUUUUAUUGAUGAUUACUCUCGUUAUAGUUGGAUUUUUCCUAUGAAAUCUCGUUCUGAAAUUUUAUCAAUAUAUAGCAACUUUGCAAAAAUGGUUGAAACUCAAUUCUCCAAACGUAUCAAAACCUUUCGAUCUGAUAAUGCUCUUGAAUAUACUCAACAUGCAUUUCAAACUCUGUUACAUUCCUAUGGCACUAUCCAUCAUCUAACCUGUCCAGGUACCUCUCAGCAAAAUGGUCGAGCCGAAAGAAAACUUCGUCAUAUUCUUGACACUGUUCGUGCUUUACUUCUUUCUGCCAAAAUUCCUGCCCCAUUUUGGGGUGAAGCCAGUCUUCAUGCUGUUCAUGCAAUUAACCGCAUUCCAAGUACUGUCAUCCAUAAUCAGACUCCAUAUGAGCGUCUCUUUGGGUCACCCCCUAACUAUCAUCACCUUCGCUCCUUUGGAUCCGCUUGCUUUGUUCUUCUUCAGCCUCAUGAGCACAACAAACUUGAGCCUCGAUCUAGACUCUGUUGUUUUCUUGGUUAUGGCGAAACUCAAAAGGGGUAUAGGUGUUAUGAUCCUGUUUCUCAUCGUCUUCGCGUUUCUCGUAAUGUUAUCGUUUGGGAACAUCGAUUGUUUGUUGAACUCUCUCACUUUCGUUCUUCCUUGACUAACUCCUCUGUUUUAGAAAUCUUUCCCGAUGAGUCUCUUGUUCCUUCUGCAAAUACUUUUGAUCUUCAUUUAGACUUCUCUCCAGAUAUCUUUGAUGCUUCUCCUAGACAGGUUGCAGAUGAACAGAUUAUUCACGAGCUACCCCACUUUGAGCCUGGGUCCCCUGCUCCUGCUCUGCCUGAAGAUCCUCCACAAGACAUUCCACCUCGCCACUCAACCCGGGUAAGAUCCAUUCCUCCACACCUCCUUGACUAUCAUUGUUACACUGCCCUUGCUACACUUCAUGAGCCUCAAACCUAUCGUGAGGCCUCUACUGACCCUUUAUGGCAGAUUGCAAUGAAAGAGGAACUUGAUGCAUUAACCAAAAACCAUACUUGGGACCUGGUUACUCUCCCUCCUGGACAGUCUGUGGUUGGUUGUAAGUGGAUCUAUAAGAUCAAGACUCGCUCUGAUGGAUCCGUUGAGCGCUAUAAGGCUCGUCUUGUUGCCAAAGGUUUUACACAAGAGUAUGGGAUUGAUUAUGAAGAGACGUUUGCUCCAGUUGCUCGUAUCUCAUCUGUUCGUGCUCUCUUAGCUGUUGCUGCUGCUCGUAAAUGGGAUCUUUUUCAGAUGGAUGUUAAAAAUGCCUUCCUUAAUGGGGAUCUGAGUGAAGAAGUCUAUAUGCAACCUCCUCCUGGUCUCUCUAUUGAAUCAAACAAGGUUUGUCAUCUUCGACGUGCACUUUAUGGUCUCAAACAAGCCCCACGUGCUUGGUUUGCCAAGAUCAGCUCCACUAUUUUUCGCUUGGGUUACACCGCCAGUCCAUAUGAUUCUGCCUUAUUUCUUCGUCGUACUGAUAAAGGCACUAUUUUGCUUCUUCUCUAUGUGGAUGAUAUGAUCAUAACUGGUGAUGACCUUAGUGGCAUUCAAGAACUCAAGGAUUUUCUCAGUCAGCAGUUUGAGAUGAAAGAUCUUGGACAUCUCAGCUAUUUCUUGGGUCUUGAAAUUACUCAUUCCACAGAUGGUCUUUAUAUUACUCAAGCCAAGUAUGCUUCUAACCUGUUGUCUCAAGCUGGGCUCACUGACAGCAAAACAGUUGACACUCCAGUUGAACUUAAUGCGCAUCUGACACCCUUGGGGGGGAAACCAUUGUCUAAUCCUUCUCUUUACAGACGAUUGGUUGGCAGCUUAGUUUACCUCACAGUUACUCGUCCAGACAUCUCCUAUGCUGUUCAUCAAGUGAGCCAGUAUUUGUCUGCUCCACGAUCAACUCACUAUGCUGCUGUUCUGCGCAUUCUUCGAUACCUGAAGGGUACCCUUUUUCAUGGCCUUUUCUACUCAGCCCAGUCUCCUCUUGUACUCCGUGCAUUCUCAGAUGCUGAUUGGGCAGGAGAUCCUACUGAUCGCAGGUCCACUACAGGUUAUUGCUUCCUCCUUGGUUCUUCUUUGAUUUCUUGGCGAAGUAAGAAACAAACCUUUGUGGCCCGCUCCAAUACUGAAGCAGAAUAUCGUGCCCUUGCUGAUACCACAUCUGAGCUCCUUUGGCUAAGAUGGCUCCUUAAGGAUUUGGGUGUAUCCACCUCCUCUGCUACUCCUCUCUAUUGUGACAACCAGAGUGCUAUUCAUAUUGCUCACAAUGAUGUCUUUCAUGAACGGACUAAACACAUCGAGAUUGAUUGUCAUUUUAUCCGUUAUCAUCUUCUCCAUGGUGCUCUUAAGCUUUUCUCCGUCUCCUCCAAAGAUCAACUUGCAGAUAUCUUCACCAAGUCUCUUCCUAAGAGACGCACUCGUGAUUUAGUUGACAACCUCAAGUUGGUCUCACAUCCACCUUGAAGUUGAGGGGGGCUGUUAAAGUAUAUUGUAUUGUGGGCUCUAGGCCCAGGGGCCCAGUUAGGUUACUUGUAUAGUACUUGUACUAUACACCUGUACUACACCUUUGUACUACACUUGUACUACACCUUUGUACUACACUUGUACUACACCUUUGUACUGCACCCUUGUACUACACAUAUAUGCCUCCUAUAUAAAGGCACUGAUGUAUAAUCUUUUACUCACAGAAUAGAAUACAAUUAUUCUAUAUUUCUAACAGGCUCGAGCAUGCUGAAAAGAAGCCAUCUGGAUCCCGCUCAGAAUCCUGUUUCUGGGCUGAGGUAGAGGACCUCCGCAUUAAAACUAGAAGCAACGGAUCCUCUCCAGAAAUUAAGCAGAAGGUUCAGCAACUGGGGCAAAAUCUAAUUAAAUGGAUUGAUGAUGCAUCUUUAGGCAAGGAUGUGUUGUUGGAGAAUUCCACCUUUGUUAAAUGGUGGAAACCCCUUCCUCCUGAGUAUAAAUCAGAACCCGAAUCAUCUCGCAUUAUGAAACUCAUCCAUUAGAAAGAUUGAGAGGGUUUCAUGCUGUUAUCUCGAGGCAUUUGUUCAAAGCCAAUAACAGCAAUAACCCUGAAUGUAUGCAAAAUCCUGUUUCCUGUAUUAAUUAGUAUGCAAAAUCCUAUUUUCUGUAUUAGUAUGUAACGACUCAUUCCCAAUCGCAUAGAUAAUGUCACUGUGAUAUCCAGGGUCUCAGGUCCAACUAUGUGAAAAUCAAGAAUGCAAAUGACUAGAUAUCAAGGGGUAAUGCUCAUAAUACUUUCAUACAAACAAGUUAGAAUUGUGUAAGUUCUACAGACGAUUAUUCAAGUAGUUGUACUUCAACACAGAUGAAGUUUGUGAUUUGAAGUUACAACCAUCUGAUAAUAAAGAUGAUGAGAAGGCAUAUUUCUUAAGAAAAUGGUCAUGAUAGCAUUUGGCAGAGAGGAGCAUACUAAUACAAAAGAUUGAAAAUGGGUUGAUAAAUUAACAGGCAGAUGGACGCUUGAUGUGCAUAUUCCUUGACCGAUCAAUAUGUAUAUGAAAAUACUGUGACAAAGACCUAGUUAGCUCCACAAUGAAAAAAGAAGCCCUUGCCAUAUGACGACAGAGGCCCUGUCAUAGACUCACAGGUCAACUACAACCAGUUCCUUCCUAGCUGUCAGAACUUUCCUUAUUGUGCAAGAAAGAAUAAGCAUGAUAUUCUGAUGCUCCCUUACUAAUUUACUACUGAACACAAAUCAACAAGCCAUCCCUUUAAGGACAUAUCUAUAAGUUCCAUCUGGCAAGGACCUCUCCAAUGGUUACAUAUAUCUUUCUUUAUGGGCCACUAAAUGAAGCCCUUUUCCAUAACCCAAUACAACCCGGUUGGAACAUAUCAUCCUCAAAAGUGAGAAAUCAUCGACACCAUAAGGGUGCAUUUGGGAUAUGGGAAUCGGAAAGGAAAUAGGAUGGGAAUGAAGGUGAAUCACGAUAUCAUGUAGAAGAGAGGAAUCAAAAUCCUAGUGAAAGUAGUGUUAAGAUAUGGACUCACAUAUCUAACAAUAGUUCAUGACUAAGCUAUUCACCUCUUUUCAGUAUUUGUUUUCUGUUCGUUCAAGAGUAUGGACCACUUAUGUGUAGAGCCCAACGCCUUCACGGGCCUUAGAUGAUGGGCCUAAGACUUGUGAGGCCCAAAAACCCAAUGGGUAUGGUCCCUAAGGCAGGAGGGUAUAAAAGGUCAAGGGUCUGUUCAUUUUGGUAACAAUCACAUCAGUUUUGGAAUUAGAACAGACCUGUUUCUCUUCGACUCCCAUCGUCUGAGAGAAUUCAGAAAGAUGUGGUGCCCUCCACAGCCUUAGAAGAUCCAUACCGUAUUCAUCGCUGGAAAACAAUGGACUCAGGUAUGUUCUUAGACAACAGUGGAAGGCAUAAUUUGAAUGCUUGGUAUACAUAUAUAUCCUAUUUUUUUUUUUUUUUUUUUUGUGUGUUUUGGGUGAUAAUGGAAAUCAAGAAUAAUAACAAAUGGUAUCAAAGCCUCCCAUUUUCACCAAAACACUCUUUAAAACACAAACAUCAGACCCAAAGCAAAAAACGUUGGACUCAGGCGUUGUUUUGGGCAAUGGGAGUAGCGUUAGGGCGCUGCAACGCGUCAUUAGGAAUCAGAAUAGUGCCAUUUCGGCGCUGUUCAUUUUGUCGGUGUCCUUUACGCUGUUUUGACGCCGUUGAGAUGCCACUGCAGGUGUCGUCAGCCCGAUGUCGCCACGACGCCGGCUGGAGGAGGAUUGAGACGCCGGUUUGGCGUCAUUCUCCAAUCAAGAACGUUGUUCAGGCGAUGGAAAAUGACUACGAUGUCGUUUAGGCAUCGUUUCUCAGUCAGCUGCUCGUGAUUUAGGCGUCAUUUUUUUGGCGUUCCAGACGUCAUCCAAGCGCCAAUGAGGAACGCCAAAAUUAGGGUGUUGUUGUAGGCUACUCAGUAACGUUGUUACUGCAUUUUUCUAGUGAUGACACCACUGAUGACACCGCUGCCGGCAUCCCAUAGUAAAAUGCCUAUUUUUGGUGCGCCGUUUUGGUGGCACUAAAGCACCAUUUUCAGGCGCAAUUGGAGGGGCUGCUGGCGUCCGUUACAAGCGCCAUUAAGGCGUCUGUUACAGGCACCAUUUAGGCACAGUCCCACGCAGCAUUCAAACGUCGUCCAGGCGUAGUCUGAUGGCGUCGUUCGUAGAUGGCUCCAGGGCCGCUGUCAGUUGGAUGCAAAAAUGAUCCCUUUUUAUAGCGUUUGAAAUUCCAUGUUUUUUUAUAAAAAAAAAAUUAUGUAUAUGCUUUUAAAAUUAUGCCAUAAUGAAGAUGGAAUAAUUUGAGAGAGUCUAUAUUCUUUUUUUGUGUUGUGGGAAAUUUUAUAUGUAUAUGCUUUUAAAAUUAUGCCAUAAUGAAGAUGGAAUAAUUUAAGAGAGUCUAUAUUCCUUUUUUGUGCAUUAGGAAAUUUAUAUGUAUGUGUUGCAUGUGAAAUAAUUAGGUAUCAUUCAAUGUCUUAUGAAUCAUGCAUAAAAUGGGUUUGUGGAUAAAUUUUUUAUUGAAUUAUUGCUUGCUAUAUUUAUGUUUAAUAUUUUAAAAUAAAUGAAUUAUGUAUACUUGUUGCCAAAGUAACUUGUAUUAGGUAAUUUUAUUUAUUUUGAAAUGUGUAAGCAUGUUAUUAUUGUAUAAAAUAAUCAACCCAAAGGAGGAUUAUUUUUAUAUAAUAAUAAAUAAAGUAAUCAUGAAUAUGUGACAUACAAGGUUUAUCUUGCAUUCGAUAUGUUAGUCCAAAGACAAACAUAUUGUUUUCGGGUUUUUUUUAUUGUCAAUAUUUAUGAAUUAAUUUAAGGAUGCUACUUACAAGUUGAUAUUUCCAUCCAAAGACUGAAUAUUGAUGUUUGUGCUAGGUAUCUUGUUGUAUGUCCACAUGCAUAUAUAUGUUUAAAUUUUAUUUAUUCAUGUAUGUGUGAUGUUUAUAUGACUGAUUGUGAGCUUCAUUGUUAUUUCAGCAUCUUCUAUAUCUGCAAAUGUCAAUAACACUCCUGUGCUUAAUGGCAUAAACUUCAAGAAAUGGAAGGAGCACGUUAUAAUUGUGCUCAGGUGAAUAGAUUUAGACUAUGCAUUAAGAGUGGAUCGCCCUUCAGAUCUUACUAGUGCCAGCACUGCUGAGCAAAGGUCUGCUAUGGAAAAAUGGGAGCAAUACAAUCGCAUGAGUCUAAUGAUUAUGAAGCACUCAAUUCUAGAAGCUAUAAGGGGUGCAAUACCUGAGGAAACCCAAGCCAAGGCAUUCUUGGACCAGAUAGCAAACCGAUUUGCUGCAAACGAAAAGGUUGAGAUAAGCACUAUUCUUAGUAAGCUUGUCUCUAUGCGGUAUAAAGGGAAAAAGAAUAUAAGGGAGUACAUUAUGGAAAUGUCUAAUCUUGUGACUAGACUCAAGGCACUAAAGUUAGAGUUGUCGGAAGACAUACUCGUGCACUUGGUCUUGAUCUCUCUACCUACACAAUUCAGUCCAUUCAAAAUCAGUUACAACACUCAAAAGGAGAAAUGGACUUUGAAUGAGCUUAUUGCUCAAUGUGUACAAGAGGAAGAGAGAUUGAAACAAGAGAAGAUAGAGAGUGCUCACUUGACUUCCACAUCUCAGGGAUUUGGUGCCAAUAAGAAAAGAAAGAGGGACAAUAAAGGAAAACAAACUACAGUUUCUAAGACAUCAAAGCAGAAGGUGCAGAAGAAACAAGAUAAGGAGAUCACUUGUUUCUUUUUCAAAAAGACUAGUCAUAUGAAGAACACAUGUACCAAAUACGCGGCUUGGCGUGAAAAGAAAGGCACACUUCUCAACUUCGUUUGUUCAGAAAUUAAUUUAGCUAUAGUGCCUACUGACACUUGGUGGAUAGAUACAGGUGCAACUACUCACAUAAGUGUCACUAUGCAGGGUUGCCUAAGGAGUCGAAUGUCAACUGAUGGUGAAAGAUACAUCUAUGUGGGAAAUGGAAACAAGGUUGCAGUCAAGGCUAUUGGUCUUUUUAGACUACAGUUGGACUCUGGAUGUACUUUGGAUUUGGAAGAGACUUUUGUUGUACCGUCGUUUAGACGGAAUUUAAUUUCUAUUUCAUGUCUACGGAAUUUAAUUUCUAUUUCAUGUCUGGACAAAUUUGGAUAUUGUUGUUCAUUUGGAAAUGGAAUAGUUAGUCUUUAUCUAAAUUCAAAGGUUAUUGGUACAGGUAGUCUAAUAGACAAAUUAUACAAAUUGAACAUAAAGGCCACUAAUGGAAAUGAAACCUUGCAUUCAAGUAAUUAUGGCAUUAAGCGAAAAUUAAUAAAUGAGAAUUCAUCAAUGUUAUGGAACAAACGUUUGGGUCACAUUUCAAAUCAAUGGAUUCAAAGGCUUGUGUCAGAAUGAAUUCUUGAUCCACUUGAUUUCUCAUACUUUCAAGUCUGUAUAGAGUGCAUUAAAGGUAAACAAACAAAUAUGAGGAAAAAUGAUGCCAAUAGGUGCAGUGACAUCUUGGAAUUGAUACAUACGAAAAUUUGUGGUCCAUUCCCUACAACUUCUUGGAAUGGACAACAAUAUUUUAUCACUUUCAUUGACGAUUACUCGCGUUAUGGCUAUCUUUAUUUGAUUCAUGAGAAAUGUCAAUCAUUGGAUGUGUUCAAGAAUUUCAAAGCUGAAGUUGAGAACCAACUAAGCAAGAAAAUAAAAGUCGUCAGAUCUGAUCGUGGAGGUGAAUACUAUGGUAGAUAUGACGGAUCAGGUGAACAAUGUCCAGGGCCAUUCGCCAAAUAUUUGAUGGAGUGUGGUAUCGUUCCUCAGUACAUCAUGCCAGGGACUCCAAGCCAAAAUGGUGUAGCAGAGAGGUGAAACCGUACUCUUAAGGAUAUGGUAAGAAGUAUGAUCAGUCAUUCCAUCUUACCAAAAUCACUUUGGGGCGAAGCUAUCAAAACUGCAGUUUACAUUUUGAAUAGAGUACCAAGCAAAGCAGUAGCCAAAACCCCAUAUGAGUUAUGGACUAGCAAAAAGCCUAGUAUUAGGCACUUGCAUGUUUGGGGUUGUCCAGUUGAAGCUAGGCCUUAUAAGCCAAAUGAAAAGAAAUUGGACUCCAGAACAGUGAGCUGCUACUUUGUAAGGUAUUCUGAAAGGUCAAGAGGUUUCAAAUUUUAUGACCCCUCAUCUAGAUCCUUCUUUGAAACGGGUAAUGCUAAGUUCAUUGAGGAUGUUGAGUUAAGUGGGAGAGAAUCAUUAAGAAAUGUGGUUUUUGAAAAGGAAUCUAUUAGUAUUCCUACGACUGGAAAUGGUCAUAUUAUGUUUGAUGACACUAUUUAGAAUGUACAGUCGAUAACAAAAAUUCAAGACACACCUGAAAUUCCUCCUGCUCAAGUUAUGGAACUGAUUCAAGUUCAUCAAGAGGUAACUCAACAACCUCAAGAACCUCAAGUACAAGUGCCACUGAGGAGAUCCACUAGAGAAAGGAGAAGUACAAUUUCAGAUGAUUAUGUUGUAUAUCUUCAAGAACAUGAGUUUGACAUGGCUCUGAAAGACGAUCCAAUUUCAAUUAGUUAAGUCAAACAAAGUUCUAACUCUGAAAAGCGGAUAGAAGUCAUGAAGAAAGAGAUGAAAUCAAUGAAAGACAAUUGUGUUUGGGACCUAGUAGAGUUGCCUGAAGGUAUAAAACCGAUUGGUUGUAAAUGGAUUUUUAAAACCAAACGGGAUUCAAAAGGUAACAUUGCUAGGUAUAAGGCACGCCUAGUCGCAAAAGGUUUCACUCAAAAGGAAGGCAUUGAUUAUAAGGAGACCUUUUCACCAAUUUCGUCAAAGGACUCUUUUAGAAUCAUCAUGGCACUUGUAGCUCAUUAUGUUUUAGAGCUACAUCAAAUGGACGUUAAAACUGCGUUUCUUAAUGGUAACAUUGAUGAAACAAUAUACAUGGUGCAACCGGAGAACUCUGAGUCUAAUGAUUCAAAGCAACUUGUAUGCAGAUUAAAAAGGUUCAUAUAUGGUUUAAAGCAAGCAUCCUGACAGUGGUACCGAAAGUUUGAUCAGGUGAUCACUUCAUUUGGUUUUAAAGAGAACACCGUUGAUCAAUGAAUAUACCUCAAGUUUAGUGGGAGCAAAUUUAUUAUCUUGGUGCUAUAUGUUGAUGAUAUUCUACUUGCAAGUAGUGAUGUGGGACUUUUGCAUGAAACCAAGCGAUUUCUAUCUAGUAAAUUUGAUAUGAAAGAUCUUGGUGGUGCAUCUUUUGUGCUGGGUAUACAGAUCUAUAGGGAUCAUUCAAGAGGUAUACUUGGGUUAUCACAAAAGGCCUACAUUGAUAAAAUGUUGAGUAGAUUUGGCAUGAGCAAUUGUGCACCAGGAAACACGCAUGUGGCAAAAAGCGAUAAAUUUAGUUUGCACCAAUGUCCGAAAAAUGAACUUGAGAAGAAGGAUAUGGAGAGGUUUCCCUAUGCCUCGGCCAUUAGAAGUCUCAUGUAUGCACAAGUUUGUACGCGUCCGGAUAUUGUGUACAUUGUUGGAAUGUUAAGCAGAUAUUUGAGUAACCCAGGUAUGGAUCACUAUAAAAAGGCAAAACGGGUUAUGCGGUAUUUACAAAGGACUAAAGACUAUAUACUCACAUACCAUAGAUCCAGUCAUUUGGAGAUCGUCGGAUAUUCGAACUCCAAUUUCAUAGGAUGUCUUGACAGUAGGAGAUCCACUUCAGGAUACGUCUUCAUGCUGGCUGGAGGAGCAGUUUCAUGGAAAAGUGUUAAACAAACACUUAUUGCUUCUUCCACCAUGGAGGCAGAAUUCAUAGCUUGCUACAAGGCAUCAAACCAUGGGAUAUGGCUACGGAAUUUUAUCACUCAAUUGCGAAUUAUUGAUGGGAUUGAGAAACCAUUGAGAAUCAAUUGUGAUAAUAAGGCCGCAAAAUUGUAUUCUAAGAACAACCGAAGUCCAUCAAAGUCCAAACACAUUGAAAUCAAGUUCUUGGUUGUGAAAGAAAGAGUUCAGAGUCUUCAAGUAUCGAUUGAACACAUAAGCACAAACUCCAUGACUGCGGAUCCGCUCACUAAGGGUUUCCCACCCAAAGUAUAUCAUGAGCAUGUCACACAUAUGGGUGUUGUACACAUUGAUGAUGUGCCAAUAUAGUGGGAGUUUGUAUUUAGAUUUUGUGUUUGUUUUCUUGAUGUGAUAUCAUGUUAUGUUAUCUAUACAGACCUUGGUUUUUAAAGACUAUUGUAUUUGAAUACUCUGAAUUGAAAUGAUGACUUUUAGAAGCAGUUUAGCAUCAAGUGUUGAAAGUGGAAUUUGACUAAUUUUUAGUCAUAAAGUGGGACCAAUUGGAAAUAGACAUAUUAGAGAUCACAUUCUAAGCAACAUAAUCUCCAUUCUCAAGUUCUAAAUCCAUCCAAAUACGUACUUCAUGGCAAAACUGUAACACCCCAAAAUAAACUUUAGGGGCAAAAUAGUAAAUUAUAAAUUAAUUAAUUAAUUAAUUAAACUCAUUAAAGAUAAAAAUCCCUUUUACAAUUAAUAAUCUUUGGUGUAAAUUAGAUUUUUCUCUUGUCUUCUUUAUUCAGAAAACUCUAUUAACCAAAAAUUAGUGAAUUGGAAAAUGUAGGGCUCAAGGUUUGAAGGUCUAGAGUUUGAAGUUCAGAUUUUUCCAAGUAAGAUUCUAACCCUAGAUUAAUAUAUUAUAUUUGUUAAUUAGUUUUGAAUACAUUAGAUAUUCUUUAGAAAAUUUUAAUUUAGAUUAGUGCUAGUUUAGUUAAUUUAUUUUAAGAUCAAAAAAUUGAAAUUAUGAAUAUAAGUUGUUUCAUUUAUGAAAAUAGGGAAAUUUGAAAAAAAUUUUAUAUGAAUAGAUCUAAACAAUGAAAUUGUAAAAAUUAAAUGAGUAAAUAAAUAUAUGAUUAUAUAUGGCUUAAGGGAUUGGAAAAUAAUAAUAAGAAGAAUUGCAUGUUUCUGGAUUUUGGAUUUGAGGCAAUGUGGUGGGGUGACAAAAAAAAUAUGAUAUCUAAUUGUGAAAAGAGUGGUAGUGGAAUAAAUUAAAAUAAUAAUAAUGAGUAGAGUUGGUGGGGUUGUUGGUUAAAAGUACAUGAGAUAUUUUGUUAAAUAAGAGGGAACAUUGGGAUUAAUAAGAAUAAUGAUAAUAAUGAUAUUAAUAAUAAUAAGAAGAAGAAGAAUAAUAAUAAUAAGAAAAAUUGUGUGAUUUGGAUGUUUGUGAGUGAUGUACAAUAGGGGUGUUUUUGGAUAUUGCAAGGUAUCGAAAAAUAUAGUAAUAAUAAUAAUAAUAAUAAUAAUAAUAAUAAUGAUAGUUUUUAAUAAAAGUUUAAAUUUAGUUUAAGUAUACAAAAUAAAUAAAUGGUUAGAAUAAGAUUUGGAAGAAAUAUGAGUUUAUAAAAAAUUUGGAAAUUCAUUAAAUUAUAUUAUUAUUGUUUAAGAAGUUGAAACUAAUAUUGGGUAGUAAUAAUAUUAGAAUAAGAAAUUAAUUAAGAUCCCUAAUGCUAAAUAAAAUAUUUUUAGGAUUGUCAAAUUUUUACCUUUAGAUAAUUGUGUAUGAUAUUAUGUUAGGUGAAGAGUAAAUUCAUCAAGCUAAAUACUUCAAGUUUUUGAGCACUUCUUCAAGGUAAGGGAAAUUAAUGCAGAUUUUUAUAAAUAAUAAUAAUAAUUUUCUUUUUAUAUUGUAUUUUGAAAUGUGUAAAAAUAUUAUUUUUAUCUUUUCGCAUGGAUCAAAUAUGCGUUUUGUGUGGAAAGUAUAUUUGAGAAUUUUCUUUGUUUAUGAAAAAUAAAAAAUUGAGGAGAUAUGAUAUUUUGUUGAGUAAGUUUGACUUAAUGAAAUAAAGUGUUUGACUAUGGAUUAUAUGACCCUAGUCAAUGAGUUAUAUUGUUGAUAUUUUCGGCCUUUGUCAACGAUUUAUAAUAGUUGAUAUUAUAUGGCCCUAGUCAACGAGUUAUAAUAGUUGACCUUAUGACCCUAAUCAACGGGUUAUAAUUGUUGGCUUUUGGUUAUGUUCAUCUUAAAUGGAACAAAUUUGAAACUAGUCACUCAUUUGUAAAGUCUCACCUAAUUGGGCACCAUUUGUUAUUUGAUAAUCAGAGUAAAGAUAUUUUGAAUGUAUUUUAUUUGGUUUUGAUGAGAAAUUGUUUUGAAAUGGAUAUGAGAAAGUUUUGUUGAAAAGUUUGAAUGUAUUAGUAUUUUGAACUUAAAAGUUUUUAUGAAAAUAAGUAUAUGUUAUACAUCCUAUUUGCAAGUAUGAUUGAAAAUGUUUGAUCCAUGAAAUUGUAUUAAUGUUCCUUAUCGGGCUUUGAGUUCCCCUUUUAUUGAUAAUCUUUCAAGUAACCUCAGUUCGGGCGAAGAGUGGCCGUUAUGAGAGAAAUUUGGUUUUAUUAGGACAACUCUUUUUAUCUUGGACAUUGUUGAAAUGUUAAAACUUAAUUCUUGUUUCAAUUAUUUUGAGUUUAGAGUUACUUAGACAAUAACACUUUGGUUGAUGUAUUAGUUUUUAAAAAAAUUUGAUACUUGGAGAUUUUAAAAUUUUGUCCUAGAACAGGAAUUUGAUAAUUGGUAAAUUUCCAGUUACAAUACAGAUGUUUGUGUUGUUUCCACUUUGAGCCUUUAGGCUUGAGAUGUGAAAUGACUGUCAUGCCCUUGGAGUGGGUUUUGGGACAUGAUAGAGUGGUAUCAGAGCACUAGGUUAUGAUCUUGUUGAGAACUUGUUUUAGUUUACUUUUGGGAUAGAUGAGUGACGCAUUAGUUUAAGUUUCAGUUUCAUCUUCUAUAAAUUCAUAUUUUUCCUUAUGAAUCUAAAUUGCCUAAUUGGUUUUUUAGUGACUAAUUUAAUUAUACCAAUGUUUAAUAGGACAACAUGGCACCAAUAAGAACAACAUCUUCCCAAAACAGUCAGGCUAAUAAUGAUGUACCUCUUCCAUUUGAGGGUUUACCUCCCAUGAAUGUAGAAAAGCUUUAUAGGUAUCUUGAGACUUUAGCUGGUUUGGCUAAGCUUCAGGCUAGAGCUAUUGAGACUCAAGCUCUUGGACAACACUCAUCUUCUAAAGGUAGCUCAUUUGAUGACUUUAAUAAGUUAGGUCUUCCUUAAUUUUCUAGUACUUCAGACCCAAUGGAAGUAGAAGCUUGGAUUCUUAAGAUAGAGAAAUUCUUUAAUGUUAUAGAUUGCUCUGAGGAGCAAAAAGCCUCUUAUGCAGCAUUUAUGUUAGAUAAAAAAACAAAUCAUUGGUGGCGUAUGACCAAAAGGCUUUUAGAGGAUUAGGGACCUAUAGUUUGGAGACAAUUUAAGGAGGCAUUUUACAAAAACUACUUCCCUGACAUUGUUAGAUGACAAAAAGUAGGAGAGUUUGUUCGUUUGGAACAGGAGGAUAUGACGGUGGACCAGUAUGAGUCUAAAUUUACAGAGUUGUUACGUUUUGAUCCACAAUUAAUUGCUAUAGAGGAGGAAAAGACAUUAAAGUUUCAGGAUGGAUUGAAGCCUUAUCUAAAGAACAAAAUAUAUAUUUUGAAGCUUAAUGCCUAUUAAAAGGUUGUAGAUAAAGCCCUUAUAGCAGAAAAUGAUAAUAAGGAGCUUUAACAAUACAAAAAACAACAAAGGAAGAGGAGUAGGAGUGAUGGUGCCCAUGAGAACCAAGAACCAAAAAGGUUCGAUUCAAUUGAGAAUCAGAAUAAAGGGGAAACAAUGCAAAAUUCAUAUUUGACUUGUUCUAUUUGUGGUAAGAAACAUUGGGGUAAGUCUUGCUAUAAAGAGUAUGGAGCUUACUUUGGUUGUGGAAAGCAUGGACAUAUGAUUCAGGAUUGCCCAAAGAAUAAGAAGUUUAUGAUUGGGAAGCCUAAGGAAGAGAAUAAAAAUUAUAAACAGAAACCCAAAGUCCAAGGGCGAAUGUUUGUUAUAACUAAUCAAGAUGCUCAAGUCACUUCUGAUGUGGCGACAUGUACUAUUUGAAUUUGCAAUUGGGAAAGUUGUGUUUGCAACUACCUAUUUGAAAGCAUUAUAGAUAUCAAACUGGAAGAAGUUGGAAUAUGAGAUUUGACCGUGAAAUGGCAAAAUAUUAUCUUUCUCAUGCACUCUUUUUCUAACUCCAUUUUAUGUUCCUAGAUUGCCCCUCCAUGUUUCCAUGUCAGCUGCAACCCUAUCUCCAUAUUAGCAGAAAACCCUCCAUGUCACAUAAGAGACUUGAAAUUUAUAAAACAGAAAAAUCAAACCUAUGAAAAAUCACCUGACCCGAGACCCAUGUAAAAUUUUUAAAACCUUUAUUCUCUUUGAUUUGGGAGCUUCUCUCUCUCUCUCUCUCUUGGCUUCAUCACCCACACAAUCCCGAGACCUAUGUAAAAUUUCCUAAAAAUGGUCUCAAAACUCCAACCUGUGUGUUUCUCUCUUGUCCACAUAAAAGUGCAACGAAAUAGAGCAUUCCAUCCUAAGAAUGUCCAGUUAAAAGAAGACUUCAAGAGGCACAUCCAUGAUUAUGAAUCUACUACAGCAGCGCAUACCAGAAUAGAAAGAUGGAAUCCAAAAUAUAUGGUUCGUGAACAAGAUAUCUCUUCCUGUCAUUAAGUGGCAUUUUUCCCUAACCCCAAACUGAAAUAUGAAGGUAAAUUAUUUUCAUUUAUUGUUCUUUAGUUCAUUAAUUUGAUAUAGAGCACAUCAACAAUUUUGGAGUAGUUGGUGGACUUGAACUUUUGUGUUGGGUUAUGGGAACCAUAUUAUUCCCAAAUAACCAUAUGACCCACAAGUCGUAUUGAAUCCAGAUGGAACUUACAACAUAUCUGGUUAUAAGUCACAUUGUUAUUUUGCGGAUUGUACCUUAGGUACUACCUUAAUAGCCCUUAGGUACUACCUUAAUCUACCUUAGGUACUACCUUAAGGGACCUUAGGUACUACCUUAGUUAAAGAUGGGUUCUACCUAUCCCAAGCUCAAACCUUCCUUUGUGACCCUUAGACCAUGCCAUUAUGUGAUUCUUUUGUGUGGGCAAGUGGUCCACCUUUGGUUGUUUGCAGACUAUAACUUAAGUACUACCUUAAUAGCCCUUAGGUACUACCUUAGUUAAAGAUGGGUUCUACCUAUCCCAAGCCUCGGACCUUCCUUUGUGACCCUUAGACCAUGCCAUUAUGUGAUUCUUUUGUGUGGUCAAGUGGUUCACCUUUGGUUUUUUUAGGACUGUACCUUAGAUAUUACGUUAAUAGCCCUUAGGUACUACCUUACUCUACCUUAGGUACUACCUUAAGAGAUCUUAGGUACUACCUUAGUUAAAGUUGGGUUCUGUCUAUUUCAAGCCUCGAACCUUCCUUUGUGAUCCUUAGACCAUGCCAUUAUGUGAUUCUCUUGUGUGGACAAGUGGUUCACAUUUGGUUCUUAGAGGACUGUACCUUAUGUACUACCUUAAUAGCCCUUAGGUAUUACGUUAAUCUACCUUAGGUACGACCUUAAGUGACCUUAGGUACUAUCUUAGUUAAAGUUGGGUUCUACCUAUCCCAAGCCUUGGACCUUCAAUCCCGGACAUUACUUGUUAUAUUUUAAAAUUUGUAGUUUAUCAUUACUAAUACUUUGUAUUUUAAAAUAUGAUAUUAUUUUAAAUUGCAUAUGUUUUUUUUUUUUUAGAAUUUCUCUAAAACAUAUUAUUAAGUAAAUAAAUUUUAAAUCAAAUUAUUAAUUUUUAAAAAUAAUUUGAAACUCAAAAAUCAAUUUAGGGUACUUUUUUAUUUGAAUAACAUAGAAAAUCAUGGAAUUCAACAAAAUAAUAUCAAAAAAAUCAUAAAUUAAAAUUCAUUUUGAAUGACUUCACUAGUUUCUUCUUUAUAUAUAAUUAUAUUUUGGUAAAUUUUUUUAUUUGGCAAAUAAACUCUAAAUCAAGCAAGACUUUGUGCAUUGGAUUCUUUAACGGAUCUAGUAAUUUUUAAAAAUAAGUUAAGCUCAAAUAGUGAUCAAAUUAAUAUGAACAAAAAUUAAUAACUUUAUUGUUUAUUUUCUAUAUAAAAUCAUUUUUUUUAAAUUUUGUUUACUAAAAAAAAUAAACUUCAAAUUAAAUAAAAUUUAAUGCAUUGGAUUUAUUAACAAGUCUAAGUAAUUUUAAAAAAUAAUUUAAAAAUCAAAUAGUGAACCAAUUAAUACCAUAAAUUUUUGGAUAUAAAUUGAUCUCUUCUAUUAUUUAUUUAUUAACAUAGUUAUAUUUUUAUAAUUUCUUUCACUACAAAAAUAAACUUCAAAUCAAACAAUAUUUUGUGCUGAAUUUAUUUAUUUUAAAUUUAUUUUAAAUAAUACUAUUAACCAUUCUUAUUUUUAAAAUAUUAUUAUUAAUUUUCAAUAAAAAAAUAUUAUUUUACAAAGAUGUCAAUAUCCAUAUCUCUAUAAUAAAGAGCAAAAUAGUAUAAUAAAUUCAUUUUAAAUAAUAUUAUUAAUAAUUAUUAUUUUUAAAACAUUGUUAUUAAUUUUUAACAAAAAAAAAAAAUCAAUUAUGCUUUUACAUAGAUGUCAAUAUCCAUAUUUCCAUAAUAAAGGGUAAAAUGGUAUAACUUUAAUAAAAAAAUUAUAAUUUUGUGAUUGUAAUAUAAUAUUACCAUUCCUAUUUUACUAAAGACUAUUUAUUGUUUAAUUACAAAACUAAUUUUAUUUUCAAUAAGAAUUUUAUUAAAUUUAACUAAUAUUACAUAUUGAAUUUUUAUUAAAAUUUAAUUAAUAUUAUAUAAAUUUAAUUUACAAUGUUUUUACAAAAUCAAAAUAAAAAAUAAUGCAUCCAAAUAAGUUUUUUUUUAUCUUUGAAUUUAAAAAUAAAUAAAAAAUAACUUACCAAAUACCCCUAUUUUUAUGAAAUACUAAAAAAUUAUAUCUAUCUAUCUAUCUGUCUAUAUAUAUAUAUAUAUAUAUAUAUAGUUUUUUAACUUCAAACAAUUUUUUCAAAAAUAUAAUAAAAUAUGACCUUAUAUUCUAUUCAAACUUAAACGUUAAAUAGUAAUUCUCUUUUUGUCUGCGAGCUACUAAAUAUUUAUAAAAACUAUCAUCGGAAUAAUAUUUAGAGUGUCUUUGAAAGUAUUUUCUAUAAGGUUAUUGUGGAUCUCGUAUUUUGCACGAUACGUUAUUACUCGAUGAUGUGACACUUUUUAAUUUAUUUGGUGAAAAUUUGAUAUUUUUUUAAAAGGACUUGGAGUCACCACUUAUUUUUGUUUUAUUUUUUUAAGGGAAAAAAAUAAGAAAUAAAAACCCUAAGUGUGACUCCUAAAGCUAUGAAAAACCGAGUCUGAGUCCAAGGGUCAAGUUACUUAUUGAGAAGGUACAGUGGUGAGCCGUAGCAUCCCUCUAAGCCCAUAUACGUACGGCCUCUACUAAACGAAUUAAGGGAAUUGUGACAAUUAAUUAAUUAAUUAUGAAUACUAAGAAAAAUAAUCAUGCAAAUGAGUAUGUACAAGUCAUGGUGAAAAUCAUUAUACAUAAAAAUAAUGAUGAAAUAUAAUUACAAGAAUACACAAAAUAAAUAACAAGAGAAUUAUGCAAAAUGAUUUAUUGAACUAAAAAAUAUUUCAAAAGAAUCAGUUUUCAAGAAAUUUAAAAACAAUUUUCAAUUAAUAAUUUCAAUUUAUUUAUUUACAAAAAAAGGUCAAUUUAUUUUCUCAACUUCAUUCGUAUUCAAUUUUCAAAAAAGUUAUUUACACUUAUUAUAUCAAAAGAAUUUAUUACAAAAUUUCAAUUUGGCAACAAAAAUUAUUUUACUUGCUUUUACAAAAAAUGAAUGAAUUUUUGUAAUUUUAUUUACAAAAGUAUUUCAAUUUGUUUUCAUUUAAGAAAAGUGAUUUAUACAUAUUAUUUAAAAAGACAUGACUUUAUUUGCAAAAGGAAUUUUAAGUGAAAAGAAAAAAAAAAUUUAAAUCAUCAAUUUCUAAAAAAAUACUUUUAAUCCCAUUUUAAUUAAGGAAAAAGAAUUCAUUUUUAAAAAAAAAAAAAAAAAAAUUGGACAAUUUUAUUAAAAAUUAAAUUUUGGGACACCUUUAUUUACAAAACAAUUUUUAAACAAUUUUUAUUAAACAAAGAAAUUUUUGGACAAUUUUAUUAAAAACAAUUUUUCAAAUUCUAUUAAAAAAAAUUCUUUUGGAUUUUUCUAAAUACAUUUUUCUGAAUUUUUAUUAAUAAAAAAACUUUCUUUUAUUAAAAAUAAUAUUUUAAAAUUAUUAUUUUAUUAAAACAUAUUUACUAAAUUCUUCCUCUUAUUUAAACAAAAUUUAUAGUUUGUUCGAUAUUCAGUUUUGUACAUACUAAAUAAAUAUAUACAAAUGAAUAUUUAUAAGAACUAAUAAAAAUAAAACCAAAUAAAAGUGAGAAAUAAAAUAUGUACCCAAAUAAACUUACAACAAACUCAACGUCUUCCUACAACUUUUCGAGUCUCACUUUCUUCCAUGAAAUUUCGUGUUCCAUAUGUCAUAAAUUCGUACUCGGACAACAAUAUUACAGAAUGGGUCCAUACAAAAACAAAAACAUCUCAAAUGUAAAUAUCUAAAAAUGUAUAAAAUUCAUAAUAGAUAUUCAAGCCUAAAUUCAAAUUUCAAAUUAGUUCAAUAAAUUUCAUCAAUUAAAAGUGGGCUCAAAUUAGCAAAUAUAACCCAACAAAAAUAUUUCACAUGUCAUAAGCCCUAAUCUAAAAUUUUCAAAUUAAUAGCCAAAAUAUAAGCUCAAUUAAUCAAACCCAAAACAUGAUAAAUUAAAAUAAAUCUCAUUAGGCCUAAACUUAAUAUCUCAUAAUCCAAGCCCAAUUUAAUAUGCAAACCUACAUCCAAAAUAUAUCACAAUAAUAUAUCAAAUCUAAAUUAAAUAAUUCAAAUGAGUACAACUAUAUCAAUUAUCAACUAAUCUAACCAAAAAUAGCAAAUUCCAAAUUAAUUGACCAACAAUAAAUUAACCCAAAAUUCAUAUUAAUUUACCAACAACAAAUUAACCCAAAUUUCAUAUUAAUUCAACAAUCCAAAUUUCAUAAACAACAAUUACUAUUAAAAUAAAAGGAAAAUAAUAAUAAUAAUAAUAAUAAUAAUAAUAAUAAUAGAAAAUAAGUGGGAUGGGAAAGUGAGGGAAUGAGAGAAAAUGGGAGGGGGUCGUCGACGGCGACUAGCCGGUGAUCUACCGAUAGUGAGGGUUGAUGGGUUUUUGGGAAGCAAAAAUGAAAUAAAAAUAAUAAUGAUAAUAAUAAAAAUGAUAAAUAAAUAUAAAAAAAUGGGAGGAAUAAAAAUGAAGAAAAUGAGGACGAAAGGGUGCCGACAUCAGACCACCGGCAGUGAUGAUGGAGUCGGGUGUGGAUGUGGGCAUUGGGAUGAGCCGUAGGAGAAAAUAAAAUGGAAAAAAAAUGGGCGCCGGUCAUCCAUGUGUGUUGUGGGGAAAGAAAAAAAAUGAAAAAAUGAAGUGGGGAAAUGAGGGAACACGAUUGGGAAUCGGAGUUGGGGUGUGGUCAGGGAGAAAAAAUCCAUAAAUGGGGAGAAUGGAGGUCUAGGUAAGGUCAUCCAACUGCCAGCCCUAAGAGAGGGAGAAGAAAUGGAAGGGCUAAAUGGGAAGCCAAGAAAGUGGGUAGGAAAAAGAGAAAUAAAAAAAAAUAAAAGAGAAUGAUGGAAGAAAUGUGAGGGGGGGCAUGUCCCCAUGACGUGGGAGGGAUGAGGGUAGGUGAGAGUAACUAGGGAAGAGAAAGAGGAAGAGAGAGAAAAGAGAGAAAAUAAAAAAAUAAAUAAAAUAUAAAUAUAAUAUAAUAAUAAAAAUAAAAAAUACAAGUAAAACAAUUUACAAAAUAAUAAAAAUUAAGAAUUAAAGGGUGAGUGGGUCAAAAAUAUCACAUAUAAUCAGGAUUUAAAAUUUAAGUACAAAAUUGGACUCGAAAUUAACGUAAAAAUAAAAUUUGGACAAAUUUUGGGGUCUACAGCUAUGUUUGGUUUAAAAGAUAUGAUACCAUAAGAUAUAUACAUAUAUUAUAAUAUCAUAUGUCAUUGGAUUGAAAAUACAUAUCCUGUGGUAUGAUUUCCAAUGAGAUAUGUAUUAUUGGAUGUACAUAUUCUAUAAACAUGAUAUUUAAAUGUAGCAUAUGAAAUGAAAUAUAUUAUGUUUAUAUUUAAUAUGUAAAAUGGAUUAAAAAAAAAAUAUCAAAUAUAUAUUAUUUUUAAUUGUUUAAAAUAAAAAUUAUAUCACAUUCUAAUAUUUUAUAUUUUAAAAAUUAAAUUUAUGUUAUUCAAUAUAUCAAAAUAAUUUAUAUAUCAUAUAUUAAUAUUAUUUUAUAAUAUUUUUUAUACAAAUUUCUGUAGUAUUUCUUUUUCAAUCAUAAAUUUAAUUUAUAAUAAAAAAAUUAUUUUACAAAAUAAGUAUAUAAAAAAAAAUUAUGAUACAUGAGAUAUGCAUAUCUCAUAUUAUAGUAUAAGAGUAACAUAUCAUAUGUAGAAGGGACAUACUUGCCAUGAUUAGGCUUCAAUUGAGGUUGAAUUUGGAAUGCCUAUGCUCAGAACAACUGCUAUGAUAAUGCAAAAGAGACAUUGAAACAACAUUUUAUGAUAACAUUUCAUAUUAACACAACCAAAUUUAAAAGAUUCCAAGGAAAAACAAAGAAUAAAAUGUUUUGAAAUAACAUUAGUUAUUCUAUCAUCUCCUGAGAUUGGUCUCCUAAAAGCUGAGUACCAAAGUACAGUGCCACUCUGACCAACCAACUCUAAAACCAGUAUUACACUACACACCAUAUUUCCCAUCAAUCUCUCAAUCUCUUCACUACACUACAAUACAAGCCAGUGGGUGAUUUGAAACCAUAUAGAAAAGUGUUAUCAGGAGAAAUUCUAUUCUAGCUAACAUCUUUUCAAUAUUUUGGAGCACAAAAAACAGAAAUUUGAAAUUGAAGACUUCAUAUGUUUUCCAUACUUGGUGAGACUUUUAAGGAAAGAAGUAGAUCUUAAUGAAGAGUGCCAGACCUAUUUGCAAAACAAAUGAAGCAACAAUCACCAGACUUAUGUUGUUACCCUGUAUGUAGGACCUCAGGUUCAAGGCAACAAAGCAAGCUGAUGCGCCACCUACAAGGACUGUGACGAGCCACCGCAGAAACUCAAUCGGAAUAACUAAUAGGACCUGAAAAUGUUCCAGGAGAACAAAUUAGAUGUUCACAAGACUACUACUUAGAAACCCAGAAACUGAAAAUUACACUAUUAAGGUUCUGCAGCAAUGAAAACCCCUAUGUGUUAAUACUUUAAAGACAACAACAGAAUAAACUGGCACUGGAGGUCCAUAGUUUGGAUGAUGCACCACCAACUAUUAACCUAAAUGCUUGCUUGUUAUGUAAUGUAUCUUUUAUUAAGUAAAACUUAAAAGAUACAUUAUGUAACAAUCUUGCUUUAACUCUAGUUAUUUCCCCUACUAUAUAAUGUUUUUAUAAUUGUACAUAUAUUUGACUAAUAUUGCUUUAUUGUAUGUAGUGCAUUUCUAUUAUUUAACAUAUAUUUGGACUUCUAUAUUAAAACAUAUAUUUGACUCAUAAUAAACUUGAUGCAUACAAAAAUACAUACAAACAUAUAUACUUAUGUGGAUGUAUACACGGUGUACAUGCAGGUAUAUACAUACAUAUACAUGCAUACAAAUAUACAUACGUAUAUCAGAAUCUAUUAGACAAAAGAGAUAGAUAACAAAGGACAAAAUUCCUCCAAAAGAAGGAAACAUACACAAGUAUAUUAUAAAAGGAAAACCUUUGGCUUCCCAGCCUUAAGGAAAAAUCCCUAAACUUCAGAGGGGCAUGUGAUCAUCACAUAUGAUGCACCAAAAAAAAAACUCAAAGAAGAAUUUUAUAGACAUAGUGAUAUUUGCAAAGCAAAAUGGAGCAUAAUGUUCCAAAUUUUCCAAUUUAUUUUUUAGCAGAGACACUACAAGAAGAUACGUCACCCUUUCUACAACUAUCACUAAAGUGCCAUCCUAUUGACUAAGACUAAUCAGCUUGGCUCAAUUUUAUCCAACAACCCCCCUAAACAAGAUGUCUUAAGGAUACAGUUGGACCACAAGGCCAUCGAUAAUGUCAGUGAUCAAGAAAGAAACAUAUAAGCACCGUAUUUUUGCACAUAAAGAAUAUUUGAGAUGAGAGAGUGGGCAAGUAUAGGAUCCAAUGAUAAAUUUGACUGCGUGAAAGAGAGACUAAUAAUAACCUAAAUAUCCAAGCUUAUCAAGAGUAAUAUACUUGAGAAAGAUAAUUUGCCAAUAUAGAAUGAGGUCCAACUACUGAUUAUUGGGGAAAGGUUGAUGUUUUAUUUUAUAGAAGAUGGUGUUUCAUACCUCAACAUCAAGAUGAAUUCAUUGAUAUCCAUUGGUUAUACUCAUCCAUCCUUAUUAUAAAGAAGCUGGAACUUGGGGAGUCGCCUCCACCAUAUGCCUUCACAUUUAUAGGUAAAGAAAACUUGCUUACAAUCAAUCUCAAAUAUCCAACAUUAAAAAAAAAAAAUAACUAAGAAGAACCAUGAUUGCUUCAUAUUGAUGCACACAUUCGCAACUUCAGAUGUAUCAAUAGCACUAUUAGUGUUCCUUAAGCACAUUUUUAGAUUAUUCUGUUGCAUGUAAGUAACACCUCUUAUAGGCCUGAAAUCAACAAUGAAGAUACUAUAAGAUGAUGAAGCAUUUUACUCCACCUAGAAAUGACUUUAAAAUGUAGACAUCUCCAUGAAAAGAUCCUUAGUUUGGAAUUUAGCUUCCAUCGUAAAUGUAAAGCUCUGUCUAGCAAUGGGCUAUGUGGUGAAGCAAUCAUAAGUCUGAGCAAAGGGUGUUGGUCAAAUAGUAGAAAAGGCGAGCAUAGGAGCUACUUAAUAGUAGAGAUGCCAAAGGUCAAUUAGACAUUUAACUGAUUGAGCCAACCUUUAAAAAAAGUUGACAUACAAAAAUUAAUGAACUAUCGAUGUACAUGUGAAAAUUUGUUGAGAUUAUAAUGUUGAAGUGUAUGUAUUUCAAAUCCAAUGUUUUUACCAUAUGACUGAAAAGUAGGAAACAAAGUUUACUUCUAGUAAUUGAAUUAAGUUCAUGCUAAAAUGAGAUAAAGGAAAAUGUGAGAAAAAUUAUUUCAUCAUUUGCUCAAGUAGCCCCUGUCAAAGUAGGACCUCUUUCAUUUUUUUCUCACUUUUGAAAUAUUGAAGAGCCUGAGCCUAAGGGUUGAACCCUACUAGAGAAGAAGUACAUAAAGAGCCACCUGACAUGGGCUAAAAUUAAAAUAAAAAGACAGAACACAAAAGGAAUAUGCAUGCAGAAAAUAGUAUCACCAUUGGCACUUGACUCAUAGCACUGAAUUCAGGAAAUCCAUGAAAGAUACCAUUUCUUCCCCAUGGGUAUCUAAAAAGCAUAAAUACCAAGCUUUAAGGAACACGUCACUAAGUUUCAGCACAGGGAGCUCUACAUAAAAAAGGUUCUCAUGUUCCUUCUUCCAAAUACACCAAGAACACAAAGUGGAGCAGAUAUCCAAAGGCUCCCUCUUUAUAUGUCUAUGCACACACACACACAAACAUAAUAACAUUACUUCUUUUCUUUCCCACAGAAAUUCCUCUCUAAAACCAUAGAAAGCUCUUUAUUCGAUCAAGGCAGAACACAAAAAACACAAGACAAGGAAAAAACUAGAGACUAAAAAGGUGGUCUACCAUACAACGUAGAAGGAUAUAGUUCACGAAGUCCUCAUCCUCAUCCUUUUGCAUAAGCAACACCAAUUAACAAUAGCACAACCCCUAUGCCCCCACACAAAUGCCACUUUGUCAAAUGGGAGAGCCUGCUAACCUCAACUCCACUCCACAUAUAACCCUUUCAAACUACAGGUAAACCUAAGUUAUAGGCAUGUAACACUUUCAUUAACCUUCCAAAUCAAUUAAUUUUGUCAAAUUCAAACAGCAAGUACCUAACAGGUUCUCAAAUCAACCUUUUUUUCUUUAAUAUAUUUUCAUUUACACAAAUCUGAUUGUUAUAAACAAAAAAAAUACAAUGAUACUCCUAAGCACAAUCAAAUUGGAAACUUAUGCAUCUUAGUAAUUUUUUUAAUUGCAUUUCCACAUAGCUAAUGAAUCAAGAAAAUAAAAUAUGUUCCUUGUUAACAGUAAUACUGGUAAUUGGAAAAUAGUGCCACAAAAAUGGAAAUCACAAUUCCCAUCAAAUUCACAACUGGAAAGAACAUCAUAAGCUAAAAUAAGAAACAAAUAAAUAUUAUUUAUCUUCAAAAUCAUUCAUUUCUUCAUCAGUUUGUAUUCACUUUCUCACAGGAAUCAUAUACAACCCCCAUCUCCACUUCUUAUCCAAUAAAUAGAAGGUUUAAAAGGACAAGUAUAUGAUGAAAUAGGAAUUGAAUUUGAAUCAUCAUUAAAAUUUAAAAAGAACAAAUAACAAACAAAGACAAAAUUUAAAACCUAAGAAGAUCUUUUGGAUUUUGGAUUGAUUCGCAUCAUGUAAACAAACAAAAGAAACAAAUAGAAAAUAAAGUCAUGACAAAUAAUUGCAAGCUCGUAUUACCCAAAUCAAACCCUGUUACCCUGACCCUUCUCUGUACAUCAAAAUCCUACUUCACGAUUUGAUUUCACACCAAACUCGUAUGGAUAUGAACAGAAACAAAAAGAGAAUCCAUAUCAACAUAUUCCCUGAAACAGAAACAAAAAAAAAUAAGCAAAAAAAAUUGAAAAAAUAAAUCCAAAAAAACAAAAAGGAAAACUGGGUGGCUUUAAAUUCAGAAAGAAACUGAUUUAAAAAGAGGUGGGUCCAUUUGGAAAUUUCUUUAACCAAAACAAAUUGUGUCUCAUCUUCAUUCAUGCGAAAAUUAAUCAAAAUACAACAAACCCCAAAAUAUAACACCUUUAGCCCCAAUAUUUUCUCAAUAGCCAAAUGAAUCCUUAAAUGGAAAACUCACCUAUGAUUGAUUAAUCCACAACAAGAGGAAGCUCCAUUUCGGUUUCCAAAAACCUUAAAAAAAUUCAACCUUUGGUGAAUAAAUAUGAAGAUAUGCCUUAACUUUGGCUUCGUUGAAGGUUUUCGAAAGAUGCCUAUCGGGUUUGGGUGGUCAACUCGUGAAAAGAGACACAAUAGGGUUAGGCCAAAAUCAGACGAAGAUGGCUUUGGGAAGAUGGGUAUCCAUCGUCUAGUCAGGACGUCAAUAAACAGAUCAGUUGCCUACCUUCGUGUAUCAAACGAGCUAUGAAAAUGGGAAUUUUUUUAGAUCGAGUCAGGGCAAAAUGAGAGGAAGUGACAGAAAGAGUUUUGCAACUUUCAAAUGUUUAUCAGGUCGGGUGUUUUGUGGGUUUCAGAUUUGACAACUUCAAGUUUCAAAUUUUGGUGUUUAUUAAAUUACGCACCUACCUGCUGACAUGGACAUUGGUGACUAUUGACAGGGAAACAUUAAAGGGCAAUUUUGGAAAUGCAAACCUAAACAGUAUAUAGUGCAUGAGAAAUAUAAUAUUUUUCCCAUUAAUAGGCACAUCUCAUAUUUCAUUUAUGUGGGUUUCCAAAACCAUAUAUCUUCCUAGUAGCAGCCUACAAACACAACUUUCCCUUUGCAAUUUAUUGUUAGAGCCUUGAUUGAUCUAAACUCAACAUAAUCUAUGUUUCAAUAUCUUUUGUUGGUUUGUUGGGUUUGCUUGUUGAUAGCCUAAACUUUGAUUUGAUUGUUGUUUUUCCUAUGGGAUAUUCUAUUGUGGAUAAUAUUAUGUUUAGAGGUUAUCUUAUGAUGACUAGUUAUAUGGAGAUGUUAGUGGACUUAAUACUUCUUGACAUUAUGAUUUUGAUGUGAUUUUGGAGAUGGAUUAGUUAGUUUCCUUCUAUGUCUAUAUUAAUUAUUUUGGUAAAAAGGGUGACUAUCCACAUUCCUAACUAAUAUACAUUUAGUUUUGAGGGAAAACAUGUGAUUAGACCAUUGUGUAUGAUCUUAGCUUUAUGGGCUAGUUCAUUGCUUAGAAAAAGGUUGUUAAGGGUUUUAUGCUUAUGUAGUGCGUGAUAAAAAAAAUAAAAAAUAAAAAAAUAAAAAUUACAAUAUAUUAUUGCCAAGUUGAUAAAGGUUUAAUGAUGCAAUCUUAGUAUUCAAGAGGUCACUUAGGAAUUAGAAAAUGAGAUAAGAGAAAAGCAUCCUCAUUAUUUGAAGAUUUAUGUACAUCAAGUUUAGAUGACUAAACUUUUGUUAAGGAGGGGAGGAUGUAACACCCCAAAAUAAACUUUAGGGGAAAAAUAAUGAAUUAUAAAUUAAUUAAUCAAUCAAUUAAACACAUUAAAGGUAAAAGAGUCCUUUUACAAUUAAUAAUCCUUGGUAUAAAUUAGAUUUUCCUCUUGUCUUCUUUAUUCAGAAAACUCUAUUAACCAAAAAUCAGUGAAUUGGAGAACGUAGGGCUUAAGGUUUGAAGGUCUAGAGUUUGAAGCUCAAAUUUUUUCAGAUAAGAUUAUAACCUUAAAUUAAUAUAUUAUAUUCGUUAGUUAUUUUUUAGCAUAUUAGAUAUUCUUUAGAAAAUUUUAAUUUAAAUUAGGGUUAGUUUAGUUAAUUUAUUUUAAGAUAUAAAAAAAUUGAAAUUAUGAAUAUAGGUUGUUUCAUUGAUGAAAAUAGGGAAAUUCGAAUAUUUUUUUUUAGAUGAAUAGAUCUAAGCAAUGAAAUUUUAAAAAUUAAAUGAGUAAAUAAAUAUAUGAUUAUAAGUGGCUUAAGGGAUUGGAAAAUAAUAAGAAGAAGAAUUGCAUGUUUUUGGAUUUUGGAUUUGAGGCACUAUGUUGGGGCGACAAAAAUAAUAAUAAUAUGUAACCAUGAAAGGCAAAGGGUGGUAGUGGAAUAAAUUAAAAUAAUAAUAAUAAUAAUGAGUAGAGUUGGUGGGGUUGUUGGAGUUGUUAGAAGUAUAUGAGGUAUUUUGUUAAAUAAGAGGGGACAUUGGGAUUAAUAAAAAUAAUGAUAAUAAUGAUAUUAAUAAUAAUAAUAAUAAUAAUAAUAAUAAUAAUAAUAAUAAUAAUAAUGAUAAUAAUAAUAGUAAGAAUUGUGUGAUUUGGAUGUUUGUGAGUGACAUAUAGUAGGGUUGUUUGGAUGUUGCCGGGUAUCGAAAAAUAUAGUAAUAAUAAUAGUAAUUGGUUUUAAUAAAAGUUUUAAUUUAGUUUAAGUAUACAAAAGAAAUAAAGGGUUAGAAUAAGAUUUGGAAGAAAUAUGAGUUUAUAAAAAAUUUGGAAAUUCAUCAAAUUAUAUUAGUAUUGUUUAAGAAGUUGAAAAUAAUAUUGGGUAAUAAUAAUAUUAGCAUGAGAAAUUAUUUAGGAUCCUUAAUACUAAAUAAAAUAUUUUUAAGAUUGUCAAAUUUUUACCUUUAGAUAAUUGUGUAGGAUAUUAUGUUAGGUGAUGAGUAAAUUCGUUAAGCUAAAUAAUUCAAGUUUUUGAGCGUUUUUUCAAGGUAAGGGAAAUUAAUGCAGAUUUUUAUAAAAGAAAAUAAUUUUCUUUUUAUAUUGUAUUUUGAAAUGUAUAAAAAUAUUAUUUUUAUCUUUAUGCAUGAAUCAAAUAUGUGAUUUAUAUGAAAGGUAUAUUUGAGAAUUUUAUUUGUUUAUGAAAAAUGAAAAAUUGAGGAGAUAUGAUAUUUUGUUUUGUAAGUUUGAAUUAAUGAAAUAAAGUGUUUGACUUUGAAUUAUAUGACCUUAAUCAACAGGUUAUAAUUGUUGACAUUUUCGACCCUACUAAAUGGGUUAUAAUAGUUGACUUUAAGGUCAUAGUCAACGGAUUAUAAUAGUUGACCUUAUGGCCCUAGUCAACGGGUUAUAAUUGUCGACUUUUGGAUUUAUUCACCUUAAAUGGAACAAAUUUGAAACUAGUCCCUCAUUUGUGAAAUCCCACUUAAUUAGGCACCAUUUGUUAUUUGAUAAUCAGAGUAAAAAUAUUUUGAAUAUAUUUGAUUUGGUUUUUAUGAGAAAUUGUUUUGAAAUGAAUAUGAGAAAGUUUUGUUGAAAAGUUUGAAUGUAUUAGUAUUUUGAACUCAAAAGUUUUUAUGAAAAUAAGUAUAUGUUAUACCUCCUAUUUACAAGCAUGAUUAAAAAUGUUUUAUCAAUAAAACUGUAUUAAUGUUCCUUAUUAGGCUUUGAACCCAUCCCCCUUUGUUGAUAAUCUUUCAUGUAACCUCAUUUUGGGUGAAGAGUGAUCGUUAGGAAGGAAAUUUGGUUUUAUUAGGAUAUUUGUUUAAACUCUCUUUAUCUUAGACAUUGUUGAAAUGUUAAAACUUAAUUAUCGUUUGAAUUAUUUUGAGUUUGGAGUUAUUUGGACAAUAACACUUUGGUUGAUAUAUUAAUUAUUUUUUAAAAGUUGAUAUUUGAAGAUUUUAGAAUUUGAUCUUACUACUCUGAACAGGAAUUUGGUAAUUGGUAAAUUUUCGAUUACAAUAUGGAUGUUUGUAUUGUUUCCACUUUGAGCUUUUGGGUUUGAGGUGUGAAAUGAUUGUCAUGCCCUUAGAGUGGGUUUUGGGCGUGACAAAAAUAAUUCAUAUCUCAAAUGGAAAACACUCAACAAUUUUCCCAAAUUUCUUUCUUUUUAGCCAAAUAAAAUAAAAUUGGAUCCACAACAAUGGUUUUAGGCAAUGAAGAUUCAGCAACAUCAAAAUGUGGAAAAAUAAUAGAUCUAAUCCACUUGCAUGCUAAUAAAUAAAUAAUCCAACACCAUCCAAAUUUAUAUUAUAAUUCAAAAAAAAUUACCUUUAAAAGUUCCCAUUGAUAAUAACGAGUAGCUCGAUCAUACUGACACAAAGAAGAUACCUCUAAUUGUUGGUGUAUUUUUUUGCUUGUGAAAUCAAGCAUUGACAUAAAAGCAAAAAAAAAAGGAAUGAAUCAUUUUACCAUAUCCCAACACAAAUAAAUAAAUAAAUAUACUUGAUAGAUUUAUAAUAUAACACCAAAAAAUACAAAAUGAAAAUCCAAUCCAAAAAUAAAAUAAAAUAAAUCAAGAGAUAGAAAUUGAAAAGGGUUUGAAAGUUAGAACAGGUAUUGGAAUUGGGUUUGGGUGCUCAAGUGGGCUAACCCGACUUGACCCAAAAACUGUCACUAUUGUAAAAAAAAAAAAAAAAUUCUCUCUAUGGAAACCCUCUCUUUCUGAGUACUCUCCCUCAAAAAACUUUUUUUUUCUCUCUCCGAAAACCAAAAAGUGAAAAAUAUAUUUCUUCUUUCCCUAAAAACAAAAGAAAGAAUAUAUUUUUCUUUCUAAAAGAAAAUCAUUUCUCGAAGUUUUUUCUAUUUUUCUUCCUAAAAACGAAAAUCAAGGUUCUUGUACCGUACGAAAAGAAUAAUCUUUAUAUUUAUAAUUUCAUUCAUGACUUGAAGCAAAAAAAUUGAUCAGUAAAAUAACCAAUCAGAAUUCUUAAGCAUUUCAAUAGGUAAUCAAAUGCAUUAUUUUUCAUGAAGGAAAAAUUUUGAAAAACAAAUAAUGAAUAGAAUCCAUAAAGAUAAAGGAAGAAUCCAAAAAUAAAGAAAAUUAUAUAUAUAAUUGCAGUCGUAAUUGGUACAUGAUAAAUGGGUGACGAUUUUCAAAAGUGAAAUAAUUGUAAAUGAAUCCAAAUUUACUUAAAAACCAAGUCAUGAGGUGGAAGGAAAUCAUGUUUAUGAGAGUUGUCGCCGUGAUUGGACUAGGCGUCUAGCAUAUAAAGUCGAGAGAUGCAAGUGGGAACUCCUAAAUACGAAUAUGGUAUUAAUGUUUAGGCGCGGGUGGCUUGAUGGUUUUGAAAACCGGUUUUUGCGAGAAAAAUAUUUUGACAAACACGUCACACUUUUGAAAUUAGUAGGCAGACGUUUGAGCUUUUACACGACGAUAACACGAACCGUCGAAUAGGAAAUGACGCGCGUAAGUGGAAAGGUGGGAAUUAAAAAGUUGUUGGGGUUUGAUCUCAAGGCAUAUAUCUAAUUUUUAAAAAGGAAAAAGUGGGACAUGGCGGCUCCGAGUCUCCGACUGUCGUCAAAAGCGUGUGGGCCUCUCUCCAUUGUCAUUUCCGGGCAACUCCAAUCCAGCGGAAUAUGAUUCCAUUCCCGUCAACCAAAAGUCUAGCUCAAUUAUCUGUUCAGUGAUCCGAAAUGGCCAAUAAACCACUCACUCUCUUGCCCACGGGUUAUAAAUCAAGCUGCAGCGUCACAGCUUCAAAUCACACACAGAGAGAGAAAAUUUGCACAGAGAAUAUGGGAGAAACACUUGGAGAUCGUAUUGGGUUGAGCGACGAAGUCAUUAAUGCAGCGGCUUCUCUAGCCAUGAAAGCCCACGAUUGCACUGGUAAGCCAUUUCUUCGCAAGAAAGGCUUACCCGUUACUGUUUUUGCAUUUGCUGGAUCUUGGCUUCCCGAUGAUUGGUGUGCGCAGCCACCUUUUGGAGAAACGAAGAUGGAUACUAGUAACUUUCCUUCGCUUAAAAGUUUAGGCGAUGACGGAGUCGCUCUGGUCAACGGGUCGUUUCUCCGGCGAUUCAAUGCCAUCCAAUCAUCACUUGCCAAAAAGGUACUUCAAUUCAACUUAUGCAUAGAUAUAUGAAAAACAAUCUCGUGAAUUCAAAAUGUGGAUGUUGGGGUUGGAUUUUUCAGGUGAAAAAAGUAAUUGGAGAGAAGAAGCAAGUUGUUUUCACCGGCUACUCGUCGGGUGCUCCGGUGGCCAUCCUGGCAACUCUAUACCUCUUGGAGAAGUCAGAGCCCAAUCAGAGCCCACCCCGCUGCGUCACUUUCGGAUCCCCCCUCGUCGGUGAUCGGAUCUUCUGUCAUGCUGUCAGGCGGGAGAAAUGGUCCGACCACUUCAUUCAUUUUGUUAUGAGAUACGAUGUGAUCCCUCGGAUUAUGCUUGGCCCUUCAUCCACUGAGCACAAACAAAUUCUCGAUUUAUUCAAUCCCGGAUCCGAAUCCUUCAGAAAACACACUGAUUCUUCUUUAGGUUUAUAUUCCAGCGUGAUGAGGAAUGCAUCCAUGGUUGCAAACUAUGAUGCCUGCAAUUUCAUGGGAUGCAAAAUCCCGGCGUUGGAAACUCUAAGGAACUUCAUUGAGCUCAGCCCUUACAGACCUUUCGGAACUUACAUCUUCUUCAGUGGAAGUGGAAAACCGGUUGUCGUAAGGAACCCGAAUGCAGUACUGCAGAUGCUGUUUUACUAUGCUCAGUGGAGCCAAGAAGAAGAUGCAGAGGCUGCAAAAAAGGGCCUAAAUGAACACUUGGCCUACCAAUUAAAGAAACUACAGAGCUUAGGAAAGCAGAAUGUAGUCUAUCUAGAUCAUCUGGAAGAGCUUCCGGUGUCUUCUGAUGGCAGUCCAGCCACAGUCAACACGACCUUGAAUGACCUCGGCCUGGUGAGCCUUCUUUCUUUCUUCUUACUGCCAAACUACAGAAUUUUAGCUUCCACAUAUGUAUGUAAAUCUCAGCUGAUGUUCUAGUGUUUUGGAUUGCAGAGCACACAAGCCAUGCUAUGCCUUCAAGCUACAGGAGAGUUGGAGAAGCGAAAGUCAAGAAACCAGGAUAAGAUCAUUAAUGAUUAUAAGCAAAAGAUUGAAGGUGAAUUAAGAAAGCUGAGUAAGUACAAGGAAAAGGCCGAGACUUGCGGACUGGGCUACUAUGAUUCCUUCAAGCUCCAAGAAAAAGAAGAUGACUUCCAGGCUAAUGUGAGCAGGCUUGUGCUAGCUGGUUACUGGGACGAGAUGAUGGAAAUGUUAAAAGCGUAUGAACUUCCGGAUGAAUUUGAGAAGAGCCAUGACUUUAUACGACUUGGAACCGAUUAUCGCCGCACGGUUGAGCCUCUAGAUAUUGCCAACUUCUAUCGACACGCCAAGGAUGAAGAGACAG
rnacentral:lncRNA from 1 species